CGUUCAAUCUUUUUCAUGUAUUUUUUUUUACAAAUUUUUUUAGAUAAAGGAUAUAAAAGCCGGCUUCAUCUAUCCAAAGAUAGAAUCAGACUAAUUAUUGCAACAUCUAGCAAAGGGGCAAAGUUUGCUGUAACCACGUAUAGCCCCACACACACGGCUACUGGGACAAAAAGUUAUUUUUCUAAACAAAACCAACAUGUCUUUGCGAGAGCCAUCCGUUGGAACCGAAAAAAUCUAAAGUUGACGUCUCCAGAUGCUCUUAACUGCAGAAACUAGUUGAUCCUUAAGAUUAUCAUGCCGUUGCAGACUUGUCCAUUGACGUAGCCAGUGAGUCCCUCAGAAAAGUACCUGCAAAAGAGAUUUUGGUUUGUGUUUAUCAAAAACUAUUUCAUUCCUUGUUAGCCAAACUGCCCAUAAUAAAGCAGAUGCUGCUGUUAAUAACAAUGUAUUAUACUUUUUGUUGCCCACCUUGGACCAAUUUUCAAACAGAUCAUCUAUACUUGUAGGUGGUAAAAUUCUAAAAAGUAAAUGAAUCGAGCGCCACAAAAACUUGGCAUAAAAAGCACUCAAAGAAUAGAUGUUGAUUGACUCUGGUAAGUGACAGAAACAACAUAACUUGUCUCCAUGCCAAUUCCUACGAGCUAGGUUGUCUUUCGUAAGAGUGACACCCCUCUUCAAGUAACACAAAAAGAUUUUUAUUUUCAUUGGUAGUUUUAUUUGCCAAAUAUUUUGUGACAAUUUGACCCCAUUGUUAAUUAAAGCAGCAUACAUAGAUCUUACUGUGAACGUUUAGAAGCCUUUAAACCCCAAAUGAAAGUAUCCCGUUCCUCAACUAAGUUAACUUGUUGCAAAGAAGCGACAAUACGCUGCCAAUUGGCUAGGUUUGUACCCACUAAAUUCCUUUGAAAAGUGACAUUUAGUAUGGGAGAACUCUGACGCAAUAGAGUCUUGCUUCCUUCUUACAAUAUUAAACAAAGAAGUAAGAAGGGAGUUGAGGUCGUGCGCCAGCUUGGUUAGCACGGUCGUGCGGCGGCUGUGGCUGUAGUAGGCCUGCAGGCUGCAAAGACUUCAUCGCGUGGGCCGUGGGCCUGGGAAGGCUGUAGAGCAGCCGCACGCUACAAGUCCACUAGCGGCAGCGCCGUUAUCCGUUCAAUCUUUUUCAUGUAUUUUUUUUUUACAAAUAUACACACAUAUAGAGAGAGAGGUUGUCUUUCUCGGUCCUUCACACUAAAGGUUUAACUUGAGAUAACUCUAAAAAAUAAUUUAUUUAGGAAGUGUUACAUUACUGUUUUGUAUGCUUGAAACUAACUUUUCUAUUAUCUUAAUUAGGCUCGUAAAUCAACAUCCAACUGCGUGCAAAAUUGAGUUGUUAUUGUUAAUCGAACUGGCUAGCUUUGGUUGUGUUUGCAUAAUAAGUUAGUUUCAACUUUCAAGUACCAUCUCUGUACAAAAAAAAUCUAGUGUAGUGUCAUGUUUUAGUAUCUUAAGUUUGACCAAUUAUAUAAAUAAAAAAUCACUACUGCAAUAAUAUUUAUGGCGACGGGCAAAAAUAAUUAAUCGAGUCGGUUUUCGCAACCGCCUCGUAUCAAAGGUCACGAUAAAUAACCUAUUUUUCGAGAUGGUUUUCUGCCCGUCUCGGUUAAUCAAAUUAAAAAACAAAAAAAAGAAAACCCAUUCCCAGCCGUAAACGGGUCUGGAUCUGGGCCGCUGCCGCCGGAGGAGCAACCGCACCAUGUGCCCCCAUGGAUCCGCCCUGCUCCUGCACGGCGUAGUCAUGGUCGUUGGUGGUCGGAGAAGCUUGCCGCCGCUCCGUGAGGACUUGAUCUGGUUGGGAUUUCGCCCAAUCCUCUGCUCUGCCACGCCGCACCCGCACCGCCACUCCAUGUCCGUGUUGCCGCUCCGCCGCGGCACGCCCACGCCGCCACUUCACCAUGCCACACCUGCUCCGUCGCGGCACGCUCGCGCCACUGCGCCGGGCACGCUCUGCCAUGGCACGCCCGCGCCACCGCUCCACUUGGGAAGGGGGGAGGGGAGGGGGAGUGGAGGAGGAGGGCGCCGGAUGGGAAGGGGAUCCCGGGAGGGGAGGGGAGGGGAGGAGGAGAGCGCUCAGGUGUCAGGAUUUUUGGGCGAGAGAGAGGAGCGUGGUAGAGGACUGCGGGUGCGGCUCGGGAGUGAGGAACUGAAGCUGAAACCCUAGGUCUGGUAUAUAUAUGUGAGCUUACGGUUGAGUCUUUUUUUCUGGCGGGCUGGGCCUAAUUUACCGAGGCGGUUGGAGUUAUAAUGGCCGCCUCGGUUAAUUAUUUACUGAGACGGUUAUGUUAGGAUGCCCGCCUCGGUUAAUAUAUAUUAACCGUGGCGGGCAAUUUAAGGUUGUCCGUCUCGGUUAAUCAAUUUUGUGAGGCGGUUUUUUUAUAACCACCUCGAUUAAUAAAAAAAUGACCGCCUCCGUUAAUGCUAAGCAUUACCCGAGACGGUUGAAAUUCGUGCCCACCUCGGUGAGUGUUUUCAAAAGGUCACGGUAAAUCUUUUUUUAGUAGUGAAUAUCUUAUAAUGAUAUCAAAUAAAUAUCAUUAAAUUAAUUACGAAUUGUGUUAUCAUAAUAAAUAAUUUGUAGUAAAAAUAUGAAUAUCAUUUGCUAUAAGUCUGAUCACACAUAAAUUAUUUUAAUCUAUAAUUACAUUUUUUUUAGGACAGAUAGGUACUCUCAACUCUUUCAUUCAAAUAAAAAAUAAUGAUAUUGUAUUUUUUAAAGAGAGUGGGCUGGGCAGAAGGUUCCAUCGAGUGCCACGGCCAUUACUCACACGCCACCUCGUUAUGUGCACCAUUCCUAAACUAUUCCUAGAGCUCGAUCUCAUAAACUAUUCCUUUGGAAAUUGGAAAUAAGAAACAAUAAUCUACGCUUGCAGUACGUACUAGUGUUUGCUAUUCUAGCAUUCGUCUUGCCAAUUGCCAUAGGCAUUUGAAGCUACUAUACAGCGAGCGAGGCGCCUGGUGUCUGGCGGCUGUGCGCCUGUGCCGUGGUUGACGCGAGGAGCAAUGGAGGGCGGCGGUGGGAAGUUAGCAUACAGCUACGGCGGCGUGGAGCCCCGCAAGUUCGGGCUCGGCCUUGUCGCCGGCCUCCUCCUCGUAUCCUGCGCCUACUUCUCCACCGUCAAGCUCGACGCCGUCCACCUCGUCAUGAGCAAGCAACCGUUUCAACCACAAGCAUGUAAGAAUCCAUUCAGAGUUUCAGACCGAGUUUUCUCACUAUCUGCUGAACUCAUCCGAGAGUUUGACGACCCGGCUUGCUCUUCAUUUCCAACGAUUUAGAUUCAGGCCUGCAAGAUCAAGGUUCAUGGUCGUCGUCGAAGGAGGGGAGCAAGGCAGAGGUGCUCGAGAAAGACGAUGGCGACGGCAGCAACGGCAUUUCCUCUUUCGGGCAAGGUGAGUCAGGCAAGCAUCCAUUUGGAGGUUUCAUUAUGCCAUUCCAUGGGGACCGAGGAGCUGACCUCGUGUUUUGGUACUUUCGCUGGUUUGCAACUUUUGCACGCAAGUUCCUGUAAGCUCGCUCGAGGAAAACCAGAAAGAUGAGACGUUUGCGAGGAAUAAUGGUGGUGUUGUUGUCUCUGCGGCCUCACCAGAUCCAGCAGCGGAUGGUGGCAAGGAUGAGGUUCCUGAGAAGGAUGAUGACCCAAGUGCCGCUGCUGCUCUUCCUCCCUUGUCAACAGAUUCCUCAGACAGCACGCAAGAAUCAUCAGGUCAGGAAGCGGCCAGCUUGAACUAACCCAAAGCGAGCUUUCCAGGGUAAGUUUGUUAUUUUAAUCAAAGACCUUACUUUGUUCUUACUUUCCUGGCCAGGUGUUCUUGAAGAUCAGGAAUUACAGGUGCAGAAUGCCGUUGCAGCAGCUGCUAAUCCACCCAAGGAAAGCAAUAGUAUCCGCAGCAACGACAACGGCAGCUCCUCUGAAAUUCCGUCUGAUCCAGCUGAAAUCCCUGUUCCUGCUCCCUCUCCAGAAAUUGAGCCCCCUUCUUCUGCUAACGAGAUUUCUGCUGAUUCUUCGGAGCUUAAGGCGGCCCCUCCAUUUCAGAUGACUCCAUCUAUUCCUGAGGUCAAGCAAACAGGUAAAUGAUUCUUCUUAUUAAAAGGUUCCAUUUUUUCCUCUGGCAGAUAAUUUAGUAACCAUUUUGUAUUUUUUAUUAACCAUUUUGCAUUUGGAGCCAUCUUGGAUUCUAGCUAGCCUGGCCAAAUUUUAGCCUCCCUAAAAGAAUCGCCACCAUUUCCCACACAAGAAGUUUCGUUUUGCGUUUUACCUGGACCAGCCGGCAAAAUCCAUGUAAGACCAUAACUGAACAAAGCAUUUAUUUAAUCUAAUGGUUGCAAGACUUGGAGGCGCCAGUGCGUGAGUGGAAGCCACUGUGCGACCUGACGUCGAACUAUCGCAUCGACUGGUGCGAGCUCGAGGGCGACGUCCGCGUGGUCGGCUCCAACGGCAGCGUCACCCUGGUGGCGCCCCCUGGUGCCGAUGCCGACAACCACACCUUCCACGAGGAGUCAUGGAGCAUCAAGCCGUACCCGCGCAAGGUGGACCCGAACGCCAUGCACAGCGUCCGCGCGCUGACGGUGCGGUCGGUCGUCGCCAUGGCCACCGCCACCGACGCGGCGCCGCCGCCGGCGUGCAUGGACUGGCACGACGUGCCGGCGCUGGUGUUCUCGGUGCGCGGGUACACGGGCAACUACUUCCACGCGUACACCGACGUGAUCCUGCCGCUGUUCCUGACGGCGCGGCAGUACUCCGGCGAGGUUCUGCUGCUGGUGACGGGCUUCCAGGCGUGGUGGGUGGGCAAGUACCUGCCGGUGUUCAGGAGCCUCUCCAAGUACGCGGCGGUGGACCUGGACAGCGACCCGCGCGUGCACUGCUUCCGCCGCGUCCAGGUCGGGCUCACCAGCCACCACGACUUCAGCAUCGACCCGCGCCGCGCGCCCAACGGCUACUCCAUGCUCGACUUCGCCCAGUUCAUGCGCGCCACCUACGCGCUCCCGCGCGACGUCGCCCUCUCCCCCUCCCCCUCGCCGGAGCGUCGACGGCGGCGCCCACGGCUCCUGGUGAUCGCGCGCGCGCGGACGCGGCGGUUCCUGAACACGGAGGAGAUCGUGCGGGGCGCGCGGAAGGUGGGGUUCGAGGUGGUGGUGUCGGAGGGGACGCACGAGGUGGCGCCAUUCGCGGAGCUGGUGAACACGUGCGACGCGGUGGUGGGCGUGCACGGCGCCGGGCUGACCAACAUGGUGUUCCUGCCCCGGGGCGGGGUGGUGGUGCAGGUGCUGCCGCUGGGGCCGCUGGAGUUCGUGGCCAGCUACUUCCGGGGCCCCGCCGGGGACAUGGGGCUCACCUACCUCGAGUACCGGAUCUCGCCGGAGGAGAGCACGCUGGUGGACCAGUACCCGCGCGACCACCCCGUGCUCACGGACCCCAUGAGCUUGAGCAGCAAGGCCAAGGACUGGGUGUCCUUCAUGGGGGUCUACCUCUUCAAGCAGGACGUCCGCCUCGACAUGAAGCGCUUCCGGCCCGUACUCAAGAAGGCACUCGCGCGGCUUAGGGCCAAACCCAAGAAUAACAACAACUAAUCACCUCGUCGUCUCGUUGUAGUUUUGGUACCUCUGAUCCUGCUGUAAAUCUUUGGACAGAGAGCUUUUUUUUUUACUUGUACUAUAGUUUUAUAUCGGCCUCUUUUAUAUUAUUACUAUAAAAAAUUCUUCUCCGUCAUUGAGCCGAUUGAGGUAGCCGCACAUUUUUACCGUCUCUGGCACGUUGUCAUGUGAUUAUGUAUAUGAUACGACGUACCCCAGUAUAAUUAAGAAGCGCAGCUAGGUCAACUUCCUACAUGCUGCGUAUUCUAUCGCGUGGCAAGGUAGGCGUUGUUGUUUAGCUGAAAAACUAGGCUGUUCACUGUACAAUUACUGUGCAGGAAACUUCUAGUGGCCGCCAUCGAUCUGCAUUGCCACUACAAAGGAACAUGGGAUAGCGGCACAGCGCUAGUUCUGGAGAUUUGUCGGCACGUUGACCGUGAUUAGGGUCUAGGGAUGCACGGCCUCGAUAGCUAGUUGGUUUGAAGGAACCAGUCGAUCUAUUGACUCAGAAGUAUCUCGAUCGUGCGCCCAAAUGUUGAGCUCUCAGGCUCUCUGGAGUAGAUUAGGGCCUGUUUAGAUUGGGAACGAAAAUUUUUUAGUGUCACAUCGGAUGUGUCGGAAGCAUGUCGGGAGGGGUUUUUAGAAACUAAUAAAAAACAAAUUACAUAGCUCGUCAGGAAACUGCAAGACAAAUUUAUUAAGCAUAAUUAAUCUGUCAUUAGCAUAUGUGGGUUACUGUAGCACUUAAGGCUAAUCAUGGAGUAACUAGGCUUAAAAGAUUCGUCUCGCGAUUCUCAACUAAACUGUGUAAUUAGUUUAUUUUUUUAUCUACAUUUAAUAUUCCAUGCAUGUGUCCAAAGAUUCGAUGGGAUGGAUGAAAAAUUUUUGGGUGGAUAACUAAACAGGGCCUUAUUCGAGGAAUCAUCGCAUGGACAAGCAUAUGUAAGUUGGAUUCUCUCGAUCUACCCGCUUUUGUAAUAUGUUAUAUGUGUACUCCAUUCGAUCUAAAAUAUACUCCCGUCCCUAAAUAGAUCACCUCUUACAGUUAUCUUAAGUUAAACUUUUAUAAAAGUUCAACUAAAUCUAUAGAAAAAAAAUUGCUAUGAUUUAAAACAUCAAUUUAGUAUCAUAACAUGCUCGUUUGGUGUUGUAAAUAUUCAUGUUUUUUCUAUAAAUUCAGUUAAAAUAAAAGGUUGAGUUAAGGCAAAUCUAGAAAUGGUUUUAUUUAUGGGGAUGAAGGUAGUAGAUCAUUAUAAUUUUGGUCUAUGUAUUCUGAUAAGUUCAUAGGAAAAAACACCAUCUAUAGUUUUGUUAAUUCAUAAAAAUGGUUUGUUAAGUCCAUCAUAAAAAUAUGUUUGUUUUGUGUGAACUGAUCAUAGAUCAGUUGAUGAGGUUCCUUGUGGUGGAACCUACCCAUCUGAGUUUAAGUCUUUGACUUGGCACGAGUGUUCAUAUUUUCCUGCAUUUAUUUCAGAAUUUAUGGAUGCUAUGAUUUUAGGGGUACACAACGUUCUCGUCGACAGCGAGGCGUCUGUGGUGACUUCGUGAAUCUCGUGAUCUGCCAGCUUAGUCCUUCGGAUGUGUUCAUAGGGGUAGAGUUCACGUAUGUGUGUGUUAUAGGGAUGAGUGUGCGUGCAUUGUGAAUGUCUAUGUUGUACUGUGUAAUUCUCAAAAUAAAUGAGUUUUGAUAGUCCACUUAUUUCAUAUUUAUAUAAACUUGGUUAUAAUUAGAAAAGCUUAGCUUAGGAUAAAACUAAAACAAUAUAAUGUGUAUUUUCAAAAUAGAUUGAGUCACAACCAAAACGUAGAUAUGUUUAGGAAACAGAAAGGCUUGCUUGGUUUGAGUCUGACACUAUACCAUAAAUAGCAAUGGACAAUCCGUUGCUUGAAAAGGGUGUAUAGCAAUGGACAGUACAUUGCUAAAGGCUAUAACGACGGACCGCUGCCGUUGUAAUGAAGUCGUUGUUGUAUGUAUACAACAACGGACACAUGUUAUUUAGCGAUGGACAGUUUGAUGCUCCAAUAUUUCGCAACGGAUAGCCUGUUAGAGCUUUUAGCAACGGACAGUUCAUUGCAAUAAGGACUUUUAGCAACGAAAAGUCCAUCGACCUCAAUUUAAUAGGUAAAAAAAUAAUCCACAUGUAUUUAAAACUAGAGUAAACAUCCAGAUCAAUACAAUAUUGAAUGACAUAUACAAAUGUGCACAUUAAUCAUACUCACAUUCAUGUAUAUCAAAUGAGUACAUGUCACCAACCGGUUGACAUCAAGCAAACAUAGAAGCAUAUAGCUGAAUACAAAAAUAGUUAUUUAAAGGAAAAAUACAAACGGGAUUUCAUUAACUCACUUUUUGUGCACUAUGCCUAAGUGUUGAUGCAAUGUCAAGGUUGGGCCAUGCAAAAUCAAAACUACAGUACAUGCAUCUUCAGACCAGCUACACUUAUCAUUCUCACUUCUCAUGCUCUUGCAACAUGUUGCAUUGAGAUACACUGCUGCAGAAAUCCUCAAGGUUUAUCUGUGAAGCGGCAAAAUUAAGAUGUAAGAAAAUAGGGGAGAAAGUAUAAUAGAAUUGGAGGUUGAAAAUAAAUACUAUAUUUACAGUGCUUGUUCAACAUUGGCAACCACGAAUAGAUCCAUAUCCAUUGAAAUGCAGGGUGUGUUUUCAAACAUUUAAAUCAGUAGUGAAUGUACAUCCUACUUGGUUGGCUAAGAAAAGGAAUUGGGCGGGUACUAUAGGUUUAUCUUUCAAAUAGGUGACAAGAAUUUCAGCGUUAAGAAGCUGACGUUCUUGUUGCCAAGGUUACUCCAACUUUCAAUUAAUCCCCUAUUAAUGGACUGGUUAAUGCAAAUCCAUGACAAACUAUUUUAGCAGGUGCAUUGUUCGCCUAAACGGCCGUUUAGACCGUUUAAGUAAACGCUACACAGUGAUACACCGUUUCCGUUUAAUCAUCAGUUUAGUCCAUUUAAUCGACCGUUUAGCCCGUUUAAUAGACUGUUUAGCUCGAAUAAUGGCUAAACGACAGGUGACCGACUGUUUACCGUUUAGCAUUUUGGAAAACAUUGAGCAAGUAUGUGUUAAGAUUGCAAAAUUCGAUCCAAAACAAAAGGGUGGUCAACUAUUCUAAAUUCAUCGAUGACAACACGAACCCUAAAUAUGCUUAACAUUUCACGGUGUCAAGUUCAAGUACAAUCAACAUAGAACCCUACUAUGCUAAGUAGAUUAAACUCAUUUCUCCCCAGAGUGACAGAAGCAUCAGCGAUUUUGCUUGAUGCCUAGGCCGCCAUAUUGCCAGAUGCCCAUGCUAACCAUGCAAACACUGAGAAAAUAUUCAAUGAAAACUACAUGUUUAAUGAAAACAUGAAAACCAACUCAAAAAACAUAUUUAUAUUACUUGAUAAUUUUUGGAACUCAGCACAUGCACAGUGCAUUUAUAUAAGUACUUACAUGCAAAGUUGGUAUGCAAAAUCACUUUUGAAAAAAUACAUACAAAAAUCGUAAAUUUCAUAUGUCUGUGCACUAGAAUACAAAACUGCAGGAAUUGUCUUCCAUUGCAUAUGUAUCUGAAAUUUGUCAUUUUUAUAUAAUUUUUUCUAGAUGUGUCAUUUGCAUUUUAACUUUUACAUGUGAGUACAUAUAUGAACUAUAGAUGUGCCAACUUCUAAAAAAUGAGUGAUCGAACUAUGUUUCUUGAGUUGAUUUUUAUCUCAAAAUUUAAUGUAGUUUCCACCAUAGUAUUUUUUGUCAAAUUUCAAAAAAAAAAUUGAGUGAUCGAAAUAUGUUUGAGUUAGUUUCUAUAUUUUCAAAGGUUGAUAUAGUUUCAAUCAUGUAUUUUCCACAAAUACAGCCAGGCGCUAGUUUUCCAGAACUCCACUUCCUGAUUCUUGAGCCUCACCCCUUAAUUUUAGAGUUAUGCUGGUGUGGAAGCAAAGUGGGAAGCAGAUGAAGUGAUUCUAGUGGGAUUCUUUUAGCUCUCAACUCGUAGGUUAAAUGGAAAAAUGAUUCUUUUCAGCUUCCUAUUAAAGUCUAGUUUUAUUUUAAUUGUUUAAUAGAGCUCUACAAAAUCCGCUCGAUGAAACUAGGAGCAUGGCUCCAUCAAAACAGACCUAAAUUUAAACUAUAAAACAGACCUAAAACUUUGUCCAUCGCUGCAGUUUCUUGACUAUCUCCAACAAUUGUUACCCAAAAUAUAAUACCCAUUUGUCCUUUGGGUAGCGCUACAGGUAGAAGGUUCCAUACCUAUUUUUAGUCUUCUCCAACAACAAGACCUAAAAGACAACACUCUCUGCAAAUAGGUCUCAAGGAGAGAGGAUACCCAAAUUUGGGUUAUGCCUCUCCUGAUACCCAAAAUGGAUCUUCUGUAUGGGUACCCUGUUUGGGUACUCUGUUGGAGGCUAUAGGUAUUGUGUUGGAGACCCAUUUUGGGUUUGGGUUCCCAAAUGGGUCUCCUCUUGGAGACAGCCUUAUUGGAAACAAAGCCCACUGGGCCUCAUACCGAGUACAAAGUGCUAGUGAAAAUAGCAAUAGUACGCGAAUUGACGUGCGUCUAGAAUGAACAUACAUGGCUAUUCCAUGCCGCCUCUGCUUGUAAACAUUUGUUUCCAGUGAUCCACAUGUUUCAGGGCAGGAAAAUUGGACAGCUCCCACAAUAUAACUAUGAACAACAAGGCAACCAAAUAGUUGAUACUAAUCAUCAUUUUUAUUUCUUUCUAGCGCAUCCAACGUGGAUUGCACUGCAAGGCAUCUUUACAGUAAAUUAUCAAGAUAUGAAAGGAACCAGUUAUUCUUUUAUCAGCCUGAAGCCCUAUACAUUAGUAUAUGAAACCUUUUGCUAACUAAUCAUUUCUUUUCUCGUAUAUUUCUUAGCUGGAGAAAACUUCCCUAAAUUACAGUGUGGUCCACUUACGACAACCCAAAAAUCCUCCUUCCGACCAAAGAUCGACGCGCCAGUUAGCUGAAGAAUCUGCUGUUUACCCCAGCCCUGUACAGCAGCACAGACUCGGGGCCACACGCAGAGAUCUUAACCUCAGUGUAUGCAGGAACGAAGAAAACAUCACCUUCCUUUGCCUUUUCUCCACCUGACAUAGAAUCCAACUGAAUCUCGCCUUCCCCGGUCAUUACGAGAAAUACGGAUGGUCCUGGUACCGGGGAUAUGACAAGCAGUUCACCUGGAGGAACCAAGCAGCAAUCGACCUCAAACUCGUUAAAUGGUGGCGUGUAGCGCCUUACGUGUGGCUGCACAGGAACUCCGCGCAAAAUUUCUGGGAAGGCCUGAAUUAAAAAAAAAAGAGACACAGCAGACCAAUUAAAGAAAAUCACAAAAUCAUGACAGUGGCAUGGAACUAAUUGGUCUCUUGCUAGAUUACUUUGCUUGAUUAGAAAAAUCUAGGUAUCUAGGAUUUUUCACUAACUUUUAACACCAAAGAGAAUAUGAACCUUUGUACUAACUUGUAAGGUUCAUCAUAAGACAAAUGAUCCAUGGAUAACACUUUAACAGUGCACUGAAUUCUGAAGCAUUUGCUCACUGCGAGCAUAGUAAACAAGAGAGAGGUACUUGCCAAGUAAAGAACUUAUGGAACAAGUAAAUAUAAACGAAGAAAUAUACUGUAUAUGAGAAUUGAGAAACAAUAGUAACAAUGACACUCACCUGUUUGUAUGUUAGCAUUGAGCAGAGAGUUUGCACAUCUCUGUAUUUAGGUGUCAAACCAGCACGUACAACGUUGUCUGAAGUGGCCAUAAUUUCAAUGCAUUCCCCAGAGAGGUAUGCAUGCGGUUCAUUUGGACCAAUAUAAAGCGCUUCACCAGGACUGAGCUUCACAUAGUUAAAGAAAAGUGCUGCUAGAACUCCAACAUCGUCUUGAUAUUGUCUCUCCAGGGACAAAACCAGCUGUUCUUUGUCUGUUAAGUUCCUAAUCUGAAUAGAGCAAGACAUUGUUAUUCAAGACACAAUUGAUGGCUUCUGAAUCGUUGUUCAUCAGUUUUUUACAAAAAAAAAAUGCCAAGGUGUGGAUGGUACAUUAGAUGAUAUACUGAUAUAACAUGUUCUUUUUGGAGAGAAAGGAGCCUAUUUGUUCAGUUGCUUAUCAGUUAUCGCCAUUCAGGUAUCUUUUUGAACCAGAAGAAAUUGCACUGGACAUGUACAUUUGAAUUGUUGCAAAUACCAACCUAUACAAAUACCAACCAUACUUCUAAAAUAGGGCACUUUACUACUUAUAGAUUCAAUUUAGUGCAUUAUUGACAUUUGAGAUCUGCUUGUAAAAUUUUGCUGUGCCAAACCCAAAAAAAAAAGGUGAUGAAAUAUCAACUUCAAAAGAUUAGCUGGCCAUAAGACAAAAUAGGAAAUGCAUAGGUGCUCCAGUGCAAAUUUGUCUGUACUGCAACAGAGAAACAAAAAGGAUAAUGCAUGCAUAUAAAAAUGGCAACAUGGGGAGCUUGUAGCAUGGAAACUUUCUAGCUUUCAAUCAUUUACUAUCUGUUAGUAGCAAAUGCUUGCAGUUUCUAGUGUCCCAAAUGAAAAUGAAAACAUUUAAAAUUGGAGGCUUUGUGAUCAACGAUAACCACUUUUUUAGGAAGCAUCGUGCUAGUUAAUAUCUGUUAAUUAGCGUUGCAAGCAACAGAUCACCUUGUAAGCUACGUGCAAGCUUAGCAUUAUCUCAUCUUUACAUUAUCUCCAAAGUUCACACUUAUAGUGUAAUUGUGCACUCAUUUGAGACAACAGCUCUUCCAUGCCUCUUGGGAGUAGUGUUGCAACAAUCCACAAGCCAAAUUUCCUUUGCUUACCAAAAUGAGAAGUCUUAAUUUUCCAAUGAACUUUGCCAAUUCAUCUCCAGGUGAGCUACCAUCUCUCUUACAACUAUAACAAUAAAAAAUGGUUCUAGUCAAUAUUCUUCUGCUCAUCAUGCUCAUUGGUGCACUGGGUAUCCUGAAGGGUACAUAUCUUUUUUUUUCUUUUUGAACACAAUGAAGGGUGCAUAUCUAGUCUAUCUCAAACCUUGUACAUACCAAUCCCAACAUACAACCCUCUGUGUUGUCCAACUAUAAUAUCUAUAAUGAUUACCUUCUCCUUAACCAUCCAUAAGCUGCAGCAAGCCACAGAUCAGACAUCUCAAGGUAUGACCUCACCUACAGGACCAUUUCAGAAAUGGGAAAGCAUUGGAGCAAGCAAACACUAGAAGUAUUUAAGGGGCUAAUAUGUUUAAUUGUUUUUUACUAUGUUGCAAUCUCUAUAGCUUAAUAGCUCUAGAGUGGUAUAGAAACCAAGGAACCAGACCCAACAUAUCUAAAAAACUUUUUCAUCAUUUAAAAAGAUAAGAUCUUUUCAAGGCACAUGGCUCAAGAAAAAGUAAGUCCUAUCAUAAACGAAGAACCAGAGAGACAAAUUUGGUAGCAACAUCCAGGAUGUGAGUUUUUUUGGCUUGUGUUGAGUUAGGCGUCAAAUGUAGCCUGCUACCAUGACCUCUACACAGCUCGAGUCCGAAAUGUUUCCCAAGGGUGGGGGAGUGUUAUGGGGUUCAGCUAAGGUACCUAGGGCCCAUAGGAUUAAUUUAGAGGGAUUGGACCAACUAGAGAUAUGAUUAGAUAUGGGUGAAUUAUAGAUAGGAUUAGAUAUGUUUUGUUAGGAUUUGAUUGGACCUUCCUUAGGUGGUCAGAAAUCCUCUACAUAUAAAGGGAGGUGAUGUAUUAGGGAAGCAAGAAAUGCAGAAGAAUUAAUCACCAAGUCCCCAAUACUCUAGUCCCCCUCCAAGCCGACUUUGCCCAGCUAUUUUCCUGGCAAUGUUUACCAUAAUGAUCUAAGGAUCAUAACCUAGUUCUAGAGUGGUAUAAAAACCAAGAAACUAGACGCCGCAUAUCCUAAACAACUUUUUCAUCAUUUUCAAAAAUAAGAUCUUCUCAAGGCAAACGUCUUAAGAAAAAAGUAAGUCCAUCAUAAAUAAACAACCAGAGAUUGAAAUUUGAUAGCAACAUUCAGGAUCUGACAAUAAAAUGUAUUAGUUAUUAUAACUGAUGUCACAACAAAGAACAAACUGUAGAAGCUCGUAGCAAUUAUAGGCCAAGAUUAUCUCUCACCUUGCUGUCAGUAUUCAGGCGACUGAUCAGUUUUGCAACUGCUUCAGAAACCAUGUCUUUACUUGCUGUCAUUAGCUUAGCAAAAGCUGAUCGCAAACUGGACUUUACUUCACUAACCCCAUCAUACUCCUUCAUGUUCAUCAGCUUGCCAGUAUCUUCAUGCCCAAUUAGGCCUUCAAUUUCAGGAACUGUCCUCAGGACAUCCUUGAGCUCCUUCAGAAUGGUAAAAAUGAUAUGUUAUUUUAGAUGUAACUGUUUGUGUUUUCCAGACUAGAAGGUCAAAUAAAAUAGAACGUGUUUCCUCUUUAAGAAAGAUCAAUAAAAAACAAAAGGAGUGAGCAUAAAAUGGUCGCUCUAUAACGAAUAAGCUUGUUGCAGCUGGCUCUUUUCCUGGUAUAAUCAAUCACUUAUAGGAUAUAUUUAAUCUAGUAUUCAUUAAAAAAACAUUCACAAUGGACUACGAAAUGAAAGAUAUUCAACACCUGAUGAUAAUGACGAUAAGAUAAAUUUUCUUUUGCAAAGCAUAAAAAACAGAGCUAUGAGAAAACCAAAUAUUAUGUAAUGAUGACAAGAUUCCUAAAUGACCCUGCCUGUAUUCUCUACAGUUUAAAUUUACACUCAUGGCCUCCAGCCCUACACUGAAAUAAUAAAAACUGUGCCCCAGGGCUGGCUGCUUUUCAAUAGAGCAUGCAUGUUUGCGCAAAGUGACGGCAGGUAGUGAAUGAAUGUAUAUAGGUACAAAGAACCAAAGCUCAAUUUUAUGGUUCAUGCCUAUAAGUACUUUUAUGGUUUAUCUCAGAAAAAGCUCAAUUUUGUUAUUCCUUAGUACAGUCAACUUUUAGACAAAAGUACAGGGGAGGGCAGCUAUUACCUGUCAACAUAUUUUAUCUCUAAAUCAUUCGCUUUUUUCUAACUGCUGGAUUGAAACUGAGCAGUCCUUAUUCGCACAUUUCUCCUUAUUCUACCAUGCUUUCCUGCAACAUGUAUUUAGUUUCUCUACUUCGAACAUUGUUUCUCUUAGACUGGAACAUUACAGAUGGGCCAAAAAAACUUUCAUCAAAUAAAUAGAAUUUCUCAAAUAAAAAGUAGCAUUUUGUCCAAUAUUUUUCCCGUCUAGCAACGACAUGUCCAAAUAUAUAUCAUAAAAAUGUGAUUUCAGAAGAAGACAAAAAAAAUAUGACUGUUGUCCUGCAAAUUAUGCCAUGACAGUUACGUGGGAUAAUCCUAAGAAGUUAGUUCCAUGUCAAUCUGCUUUUCCAACUUGAGAAAGCCGACAAAAUUGACAUAUCGGUGCACAUUAUUUGUUUCAAUCAUUUGUUUCAUUUCAUUAUUUGUUUCAUUUCUUUCCUAUAACCCAUUAAACAAAUUUUCUUGUGUCAGCUACUCACCAGAAAUUUUCUUAUGUCCAGUACUAGCAACUUAAGGUAUCAGAAUUAUUGUUACAGCUGCACAUCAAGAAUACAUAUACCAAACCAUAACGUCUCCUAACUAAUUUAUUCACGAGACCUCAAAUUAUAGACUUCCUUUAUCUUAGGUCUCAGGCUCUCAGCCAACCAAACAUCAAACAGAGAGAAAGAAAUCAUUACAGUUAAGCAGAUCAAAACCAAGCGCGUUGUAGGCUUAGGCAGUUGUAGGUUUUUAGAAUAACAAGUUGGUGCCAAAUUAGUUGGUGCCAAAUUUGAAGAAGCAAACACGUACUUUCCUUUCGUAUUUUCAUGUGCAUUUGAACUUGCUAGCCGAUGGUUCAACGACAAACAGUUGGCUGAGAAAACAAAUAAAGAAAAACUCGGCGACCAAGAGCAGGAAAAAAAAACGGUUACCUCAAUAGGGGCAAAGCCGCAAAGCGCCCGGAACUCCGUGAAGGCGAUGGCCAUCUCCGGCUUGUGAUUGUCGUCCUUGUAGGUGGACGGCCGCAGCGCGUGCAGCACCUCGGCGAGUUUCUUGUCCGGGUGCGCCUGGAUCGAGAGCGCUUUGGCCACCGACAGCACCUGCAACCGCAAACGGGUAGCCGAGUCAACCAGCCAGCGUUCGAGACGGCAAUAAGAACGCGAAGCAAGCAACGACCCAACCCAAGGCACGGAACCGUUCGUCCACGGCCCAGUCGUAGUACCUUGAAGAGGAAUGGGAGGUCGCCUCCCCAGCGCGCGGCGACGGCGGGGCCGAGCGCGUCGGGGUUCCGCGCGAGCCAGUCCCUGAGGAGCGCGCCGUCGCCGAGGAGCGUGGAGGGGCCGGACGGGUGAGUGCCCAUCCAGAGCUCGGCGUAGGGGCGAGCCGGGUCGGGGUUCUGGUCGGCGAGGCGCGCGACGAGGGAGGCGGCUCCGUGCUGGCCCCACUCGUAGUGCUGCACCGCGCAGCGCAGCCGCAGCAGCCUUUGCGGCGGCGCCGGGGAGGCCUCGGGCUCCGGCUCCGGCUCCGGCUCCGGCGGAGCAAGCGCUGGUGGGUCCUCCAUUUGGGCGGGGAUUUGAGCUAGGCUUGACGACGGUUGGAGGGAGGGGGGGGGAGGAGCGUUUGGAUUUUAAAGGGGAGGGAAGAGGAGGCCGCGGGCGGGUGGCGGCGGCACAACACAAAGGGGGAACCGGGGAAGACGACUCGCCCGAUGCGUGAAUUGACCGCGUCAGUUGUCUUCCGUUCCGAAAGUCCCGAGCGAGUGAUGCGUUGGCUACUAGGCUGUGCCUGUGAGUGUGAUGGGCCCCGCCGGGGUGGGGACCACUUUGCCUUCUCCUUUUCUUAAAUACAGUAUAAAUCGCUUUUCCUGCUUCAGAUCGAUCUUUAUACUUGUCAAUAUAGAUAUUCGUAUUUAUAUCAUGUUAUAAAUUUUAGAUUAGUACUUGAAUCCAGUUUUUAUGAUUUUUAUAUUUGAUUCUAGAUCCAUAUUCAAAAAAUAAUAUAAGAUAUUUGAUUUUAUUGUAUCGUGAAGAAAAUAUCAUCUAAAAGUUAUAUUUAUGACUAAAUAACAACAAUAAAUGAUAAUUAUUUAAAUAUAACUUAGUUCAAAAUAUUUAAAAGUUGUCUCAUAAAGGAUAAAUUGAAUUUAUUAUAAUUUAAAAUAUUUAAAACUUAUACGUAUGAUAUUUUCUAUAUUAUUAAUUAAUGAUAUGUAAAGGUCUAGUUUAAUUAACUUUGGUAUGACUAAUCGUAUAAAAUUUAAGUAAUUUAGUUUAUUUGUAUAUUUAUGAUGUUUAUAUAUUUAAAUUUAUUAUUAGUGACUUUUAAAUAUUUAUCUACACUUCUAUUGUUAUUUAUAUAUUUGAUUAUUGAAAUAAUUAUUAAUAUGUAUAUGUUGUUUUUUAUAGUUGUCUUUAUCUUAUAUAGUCAUAUUUUAAGUCCCUACGUACAUAUUGAUAUUAUUCUACUAUAGAACUAUUAAUAAGUAAAUCUAAAUAUUAUAUUCAAAAUCAAGUAAACAUCUAAGUGCGAAUUUGAAUUUGAGAUCUUCAUUUUGUAUCCAAUCUGAUAAUAUUUGUAUCCGCAUUGAAAUUCAAAUAAAAAUAUGAUACAUAUAGUGAAUCUAAUCUGAAUCAUCCCUAUUCCUAGUCAUUUUCAAAUAGACCCUUGUAAAAAAUAGGCAUUUGGCUAUUUCUUGACUAGCUCUGUUUUUUCAUCCACGACUCAUACGGAGACGCACAAAGCUUUUUUCCUAGAUGGAUGAACCAUUUUUAGAAGUGAACUAUUGUCUUUUAUAUUUUCCUAGCAAAAAUGCCCGUGCGUUGCAACGGGAGGAAAAAAACUAUCAAAUCUAUCUAUAUCUUUAUUACCUAAUUGUAUAUAUAAUAACAAACAGGCAAAAAUGUUUUUCUUCCUUGGUGGCCUCACCUUCCUCGCCUUAGGUUAGCUACAAGACCCAGUGCGCACCUCUUGCAUCCAUCCACCUGGAGCCACGACUUGCAUGGAGGAGACCCAUGCUCUCGUCUACCCAGUGCCACAAUGAGUCGCGCUGCCGCCAUAGGCUCAGGAGCUCGCCAGACGUUGCUGAGGUGUAUAUAUUAUAUAUACGAGCCUAUUUAGUUCCCCACACCAUUCUGCAAAAUGAAACUAAACACCAUCUAAAAUUUUUGGCAAAAUAGUUGUCAUUUUGAAUUUUGGCCUCAAAAGCCAAAAAAGUCAAAAAAAAAUAGCUUCAUAUAUUUUGGACCCUAAAAUUUUUAGCAUUUUGGAUAGAACUAAACACAUUCAUAAAAAAAUAUAUUUUGUAUUUUGUAUUUCACGGGGAAUUAAAUACAAUCUUAAUCAAAAGAAAAAUAAAUAAAGGAGAAAAAAGUACCUGGCCGUACACCGACACGCGAGACAGCCACCUCAAAACACGGAUUGAUGAUGAUAUAUUGGUGGCUGACCGAGUAGGACCUGAGCAUUUUCUCCUAGACCACCACCACUCCCGAAGUGAAGAGAGAGCUUUCCGCCUCCGCCUUGGAGCGACGCUGCCGUCGGAGCUCGAUACUGAUGGGUGGCUUCAGGACCUCGCGUCCUACCUCCGUCGCCCUCUACGCCUUCCUCGUCUUCCUCAAUCUCUUCGCCUUCGUUCUCACCGUCGGCGCUGAGCACCGCCACAACACCGUACGCUCCCUUCGCUCCUCCAGUCUCUCUGCAUCUCCUCCGCGCCUACCGCUACAUGCGUUGGUCAGAUCUUCGUGCUUGAUGGGCCUGAUGCAGAGGAAGGCACAGAGCUGUUGCCGUUGAAUAUAUAGUACUUGAUUUGUACGUGAUUUUGUUUUGGACUCGAUCUGGAUCUAGAAUCUGGUAUAUGGUACGUGAUUUGUAUUUGAUUUUGUUUUGGACUCGAUCUAGAAUCUGGUACCAGGCGAGUUCUCUGAGGCUCGAGAUCCAGCGGAUUACUAUGUUUUUUAUUUUGCCCGAUGAUAUUUUCUUGUAUAUCGUAUGGACUCAAGUCUCCACCCAAACGAAAAAUUAUCUAACGAAAAUUUAGGCUAGAUUUGAACCGGGGCGGACAGAACAGACAUGGCUCGGACAUAGUGGCAGAAGAAAUCUAUUGGCAAACUGAAAUUUUGACUCUUUAUAGAUAGGUAUAGAUUAGGAGUGAAUUAUUUGAAACUAUUAGAAUUUGCCUUUUUUCAACAUGGACUUUUUAGAGAAAAUUUUAGGAUACCCUUGAAGAUGCUCUAGUGCUCAAUUAAAAUUCACUACUAUCCCUAUUUAUUGCAGACAACUUAUGUUAAUUAACGAAUAAUAAGUUGCUAAUUAAAAGAAUGCAUGGAGCCAUGUGAACCAUAAUUUCAAAUUAAACAGGCUGAGGAGCUAAAACAUCAAAAUCUUUAGACAAAAUUUGAAUCAUAAAACAUCAAGUCCAUGUGACGAAGAGAGCAUAUAAAAGAAUGUACACAAGAAAUAGCAUGAGACAAUAACAAUUCGUCAUAUUCUAUAUAAGUAUUAAAAGUUUUGUGAAUGAGUUUAGAAUGUAAAACAAAUUAAAUUUUGUUACCUUUAGCCGCUCUCUAUUAACUUUCUAUUACAACCAUUCAUGUAAUCUAAUAGUCCAUAUCUAAUUUAAUUAGAAAAUAUAUCAAUUACUUUUGUAUGUGUUUCCAUCAUUUGGGUAGGACAUGUAUGAGAUUUAAUAUAUAUUUAGCUAAAAUGUUAGUUUAAGUGAAAUAUUGAAUUUGUAUUUUGGCUUGCAACUUUCGGUCCUAUUGACUCUUUUUAUUUUUUAACAACAUGUUAAGGUUAAACUCCUUUACUUUUUCUACUUCAAAAAAAACUCCUUUACAUAUUAUACAUCUUAUUUAAGAUUUUCUUCUAUAUUUUAUUAAAAAUAGAUUCCUAGACUACACUCUCACUACAAUAGCAAAAACAAUUGUUUCAAUCACACCCUCGUACUUAUGAUAAAAAGUAGAGUUCUUACAACUAAACUAUUAGUAUUGAUAUGCCAUAAUGACUCCGUCAAAUUAUAUAAACCUACAUAAGGUUUUUUUUGCGAGAAAACCUACACAAGGUUAUAACUUACAAAAUUGAAUUGUUGUGACCAAGUUUAAUAUUAUUUAAAAUGAAUUGCUUGUGUUAUUGGUAUGCGGUCUAUUAAGGUAAGAUUUUUCAUGAUCGAUAAAAUAAAACCAAUUUGUUGCUAACGUAUGCAUUAUAGUUACUUUGAAUUUAACUUUGGUAGAAGUGAAUAAUUAAGAAACACAUAUACUCUAAAGUUACUAGUUCUUUAUUAUAUUAUCUUAUAUUAGCAGCAACUUAGACAUAGAUUUUAGGGUCAUUUUUCUUUAUUUUUUAGAUGCAAAUUAAGGAUACUACUUUUGCAUUAGCUUUCAUAUUGUCAAACGUAAUUAAAUUAAAAUAAAUUUUUGUGGGAGUUAUCUUUGAAUGUUUUUCACAAUGGUAUAUAUGAGUGAUUUUCAUGUAAAUUUAGAAUAUUAUUUUAAAUUAUUUAUUUUUAUAAUAAAAGAGGUGGGUAAUUUAGAUAUCAAAGGAAGAUUAAGGAUCAACCAAAAUGUUAAUCUCGAGAAGAUAUUAAUAUUUAUAAAUAUUUUCAUCAUUGUUGACUCUCAAAAAUAAAAAAAAUACUAGAGAGGCACCUAAGUUCUUUCCACUAUUCAAGUUGUUUACUUUUUUAAUCAAUGAGUAUACAUUGAUUUUUAGUGUCAUUAGUAUAUGUGUAUGUUAAAUUUGUGACUUUUGGAACAUUAAGAAGUAUGUAUUUUUGUAUCCAUGUAAUUGAUGUGUGCAAUGGCCACAUUAUCUAUGUUUACAUCAAGUUAGUUUUCAUACAGUAACAACGUAAUUUAAAAACAUAUAUAUGCAGCGUCGUGACUGAUAUAGUUAUUCUAAAAAUUAAUAGACAAUUUUGGUAACUUAAAUGUAGUUUUAAUGCAAUGGCCACUUUUAUAGAGGAUUAUGUUAAUACCUAUGUAAAUUUAGGUUAUUUUAAUUACAAUAUUAACAUAUGUGGAUUUAGAUGCAAAUUUGUGGCGUUUAUGUUUUUUUUUCAUAAUAAAAAUCUACGUGGGUAUUUUUUUAGAAAACUAAAUAGUCUAGUGACUAGUAUUAUGUGUCGGGAUUAUAAGGCUAUCGGAUUGGUAGCUACUCAGUUCCAAAUUAUAAUAUGUUUUGGCUAAUCUAGAAGAUAUAUAUAGCUUUUGCUUUGCAUUUACACUAUGUCUAAAUGUGCAGUAAAAGUAAUAUUUAGAAAAAUCAAAACAUCUUAUAAUUUGGAACUAAGGGAGUAUAUCUUUCCAUUAUUUAUGAAAAUUUUAUGAUUUUUCUUAGCAAACCUGAAUAGAGUCUCUUGGAGGCCUCCAAUUAGUUAAUAUAAUGAUACAAUAUUAAGAAUAAGAAUAAGAUGCUAGAAUAACUAUGGUCGUUCCAAACUUCCUGGGUCACCAAAUGGAUAAGGGUGGUUUUGGCAUUUUUCCUGGGUUUUACACCAAAAAUAGUUUGGGAUUGGGAGUGGAGUACGUGAAAUCUGGCAUGGGGUGGGCCCUUCCUGCACUGUAGUACUACAAGGAAAACGGUUGCCGCCACCGCCGGAGAAUCAACACCAUCGCAUCACGCACGCUGCACGCAUGAUGGAGCGGAAAACCGCCGUGCCUCCCAUUCACCCAACGCAUCCGUCACACUUGGAGAUUCCGUGAUGAAACGGGAACGCGUCGUGGGUUCGUGGGUGGCGCGCGCUCAUCGGCCCAAUUUUUUACAAUUUGGCCCUUUUUUUAAAAAAGUUCACAAUUAGAUCUCUGAAAAACUUAAAUGCAGAAAUGGAUCCAGGGGGUCGGCGCCAUGAAUCAUGGCGUCGAGGUGUCACGUCUCGGCGUCAUGGAUCACGGCGCCGAGGUCCUGGACGCAGCCAGCGUACUUUCUGACGUGGCAGUGGCCAAAAAAAAAGGUCGGCGCCACAGAUCACGGCGCCGAGCUCGGCGUCACGGAUCUCGGCGCCGAGCUCGGCGCCACGGAUCUCGGCGCCGAGGUAGGAUAAAAAGUGGGGGGCUGCCUCCUCGGCCCUGCUCACGCCGCGCGCCGCGCCCGACUGCUGCCACCGCGCUCCGCCGCCGCUGCCGGCACCGCUCGCCGCCACCGCGCGCCCCACCGGUGCCGCGGGCGCCACCGCGCGGCCCCGGCCACCGCGCGGCCCCGGCCGCCUGCGCGCGCCCCGCCGGUGCCGCGGGCGCCACCGCGCGCCCCGCCGGUGCCGCGGCCGCCACCGCGCGGCCCGCCGCUGCCCCCGCCCCGCGCGGCCCGGGCGCCGAGGCCGCUGCCCCCGGCCGCCACCGCCUGUUGCCCGGCCCUCCCGGCGGCUGCUGCAGGUAUUUUUUUUUCUUUUCCUAGUACGAUAAUUGUUUAGAUAAUGUGGUUUGUUUUCUAAGUUGUAUAAUUUUUGAAAUAAUUCUUGUAGCAAUUUUCUAUAUUGGUAUUAUUUAUAUGAAUAUUGUUAUGUAAUUUAGAGUUGUUUAUUUAAUUUAGAUUAGUUUAUUUAAUAUUUUAGAAUUUAGUUAUGUAAUUUAGUUAGAUAAAUCUAGUUUGUAAUUUUAGUUAUAUAGUUAGUUACAUACGUAUUUUAUUAGAUAGAUAUUUAGGUGUUUUAUUUGUAUUAGUUAUAUGUCUAGUAACAUGGUUGUUUUGUAUAUCAAUUAGAUGGACAAUUUAGUAACCUUAUAUCAUGGAGGAAGUGUGGAGAAAGAUCAAUUUGGCAAUGUUGAUUUUGUUGGAAUGCAAACGGUCUCUUUGAUGUUUGAUGAGCGGCCCUUGUUUUCUGAAUUGAUGGGUAGUGCUCGUGAUAAGCUUAAAUGUAAUUCGAAUGAAUAAGAAAUCUUAAUUGAGGGGGUCAUUCACCAUGGCGGGUCAGGGACAAUUUUUAGGCGGUUGGUCCCAAUUGUAUCCGAGGUUCAAUGGGACAAAUAUGUCAAAACUGUCAUGAAGAGUGACUUUAAAUGUUUGGAUUUGGUUGUGCGCAACUUGUCCAAGGAGCCAGGCCCUCUAGUGGAUUCUCCACUUAAUUGGCAACCACCCAUUGGUGAGUUCUCACCGGAACCGGACAAUCCGGCACCCUUAGCUUCUCUUAUACCCAUUCAGGACGUGGGUGUGGAAGAUGUGGUUGUCGUUCCUGAUGCUCAAUCCGGUCCCAAUGAGGUUGGCUGCGUACAUACCCCUAUGACCCAGACAAUUCCAUGUAAGUGGCGUAGUUGCAUUAUUCAUUUUGUUAGCAUUCCUUCGUUCGAUUUAGUUGUCUCAAUUGUAUGCAUAUUUGUGGUUUGUUGUAGGUGACAAUCCAAGUAAUGAUUGUUGUCAUCCUGUGCCUCCAACAUUUAAUGUUGACGCAGCUUUUAUAGCAUCUAAUAGUUUGGAUGUUAAUAUUGAGGAUGAUGAGGAGCCCUAUGGCACAGCUAGAGCUGUUGAUUCCGAUGAUGACCGGCCAGUUGCACCUUUAAGUGAACAAGAAAUGGAGCUUAUCAGACGUUUUUGUCCUGAUCGUGAUCCACUAGUUCACGAGUUUAGUGACCUCAGUCAUUCUCAAAAUGCUUAUGCAGAGGGAAGAGAUGAUGAGCUGCUGGAGGCUCCUGAGCCUGGUGAGAGUGUGCAAAUUCAGAAGGGCAUGAUCUUUAAUGAUUUGCCCAGCUUAAGAAGGUGGUUGCAACAAUAUUCUGUAAUACGUAAAAGACCCUUCAAGGUGAUGCACUCCCAUGUUGAGCGCCGCUACACGGUUGUGUGUGAGAUGUCCGAUUGCAACUGGAGGGUCUGUGCUCGUAAACAAAAGGCCACCGGGAAGUUUAAGAUCACAAAAAUUGUAGGUCCACACACUUGUGCCCAGACUGACCUUCAACAGAAGCAUCGACAGUUGACCUCUACACUUAUUGCUAGUACGUUAUGCACAACUUUAAAGGGUCAGCCCAACUUGAAGGUCAGAACAAUUAUGGACAUGGCUCAGAAGAUAUUUAAAUAUGACAUAAAGUAUGGCAAAGCAUGGAGGGCAAAGCAAAGGGCCUGGAAGAUGAUAUAUGGGGACUGGGAGGAGGGGUACGAGCAGCUGCCAGCAAUGUUCAAUGCAAUGAAAGCAGCUAAUCCAGGCAUGCAUUACGAGUACAUUCCGAAGCCUAAUGAAUGGAGGAAUGGGAGGCAGAUAUUCUUUCGUGCAUUCUGGUGUUUUCCACAGUGUGUCCAGGCCUUUAGGCACUGCCGUCCAGUGUUAUCAAUUGAUGGUACUUUUCUGCUUGGCAAGUACAUGGGCACUCUUUUGGUAGCCAUUUCCUAUGACGCUGACAACGUAUUGGUUCAUUUGGCUUUUGCUUUGGUGGAGAGAGAGAACAAAGACAGCUGGGGUUGGUUCAUGCGCCUUGUUCGGAUACAUGUCAUUGGCCCACAUAGGGAGGUUGGUGUCAUAUCUGAUAGGCACCAGGGCAUACUCAAUGCCGUAUAGGAGCAGAUUCCUGGUUAUGCACCUUUGCACCAUCGUUGGUGUACUAGACACCUUGCAGAGAAUUUACUUCGGAAAGAUGGUACGAAGGACAACUUUCCUCUAUUCGAGGAGGUUGCUCGAAUGCUUGAGGUGCCAUUUUUUGAGGAGAAGUUGGAGCAGUUAAAAACCGCAACAAAUGCAGAAGGUAGGCAGUGGCUGCUAGGUUUGAUGAGGGAACCUGAGAAAUGGACAAGAGCCCAUGAUAAUGGUGGAUGGAGGUACGAGUUUCAGACUAGCAACAUGGCAGAGUCAUUUAAUAGUGUGCUCAAGGGUAUACGUGCCAUGCCAGUCAAUGCCAUUGUAUCUUUUACCUUUUAUAGACUAGUGGCCUGGUUCAACGAUAGACAUGCUCAAGCAUUGCAAUUACAAAGUAAUAAUAUAAAAUGGGCACCUAGAGCUAAGAAGCACCUUGACAAGGCAAAGGAAAGGGCUAGAACACAUGACAUAGAGUGUUUUGACCAUGCCACUGGCAAGUACCAGGUCACUGAAAGGGGUGGUACAACGUCAGAUGGUGAGAUCCGACCAUCAAGGAGUUAUAUUGUUGUCCUGACUGAUUUUUCAUGUGGAUGUGGGAGACCAAGACAGUACCACUCUCCUUGUUCUCACUAUAUUGCAGCAGCUAGGCAUCGCAACUUUGACUACGAGACCAAGAUACCAUGGGAGUUGAGUGUUGAUAGCCUUGUGCUAACUUGGUCGCCCCGUUUUGAGCCUUUCCUAGAUGAGGGGCAGUGGCCAGAAUACAUUGGCCCAAGGUACAUUGCAGAUCCAGGUGCUCGCUGGAACAAACGUGGAACCAGAAAGCGUACGAGGCAUAAGAUGGUCAUGGACCAGAUUUCAGGUAGAACGAGGCGAGGGAGAGCAACCCCGUUUGUUACUGACCCCGAGCAAAAUCAAUGUGGCAAAUGUGGUAGACUUGGACACAACUCGCGUACUUGCCAUUGGCCGCUAAGUCAGGUGCACUUAAUAUUCUAUGUACUUUAGUUGUUAAAUACUUUCAUAUGCAACUUACUUUUUGGCAGACAUACAUGUUCUAGUGCUCCUUUGUUUAAUAUAAUGACAUUGUAAUGUAUUAUUUUUUUCUGCUUAAUUACUAACUAAUGGAUCAAAUUUGUUUAUAGGAUGGAGCAAUUCCACCUCCUGGAUCCAUACUACGAGGUGAAGCACCGAGGACGACUCACUGCCGAGGGGACGGUACUUACUUUGAUCUUUGCUUUUCAUUUAUUAUUAAUUUGUGUACUUAUGCAUUAAAUAACUUGAUUGUAUGGUUGCAGGAACUACCCCCGCUUCGACCUCGAACGCAUGACAAGUUCGAGAAGAUGCGGUAUGACGACAGGUACACACCUCUGCUGCAGAGGGCUGGCCUGGAUGUCAUAUCGUAUCAGGUUCGUCGUGGGUUGCCUCCAAUUAACCCCGCGGCGAUCACAGCUUUGGUUGACAGGUGCACCAUUUAUCUAUAGUAAUCGUAUGUUUUUUUGAACAAACUUUAUCUAUCUUUCUGAAAACCCUAACAACAAUGUUCUUUAAAUUGUAGGUGGAGGCCAGAAACUCAUAGUUUCCACCUACCUUGUGGAGAGAUGACUGUUACACUCCAGGACACUCAGAAGAUCCUGGGUUUGAGUGUUAGAGGUCAUCCAGUUAUCGGACACUGCAGGCCCGAUGGUUGGAGGGCCAGAGUUGAGGCCUUCCUUGGAAGACCACUUCCUCCGGAGGCACCGACGCAGCGCACCACUGGGGUACCAAUUGCUUGGCUUAGGCAGAGCUUUGGUAAUUGUCCGGCACAUGCGGACCAGGAGACAGUUGCCUACUACUGUAGAGCUUGGAUCUUGCACCUAUUUGGGUGUGUUCUUUUCCCUGACGCGACAGGGGACACUGCAUCGUGGAUGUACCUCCCGUGCCUCACUGACUGGGACACCACAGGUACUUUUCCCUUACAUAGUUAUUAUUAAUUUGGUUUCUUAUGUUUACGUAUGCAUUGAUUAAAUUGAUUGCAACGGUUUCAGGUACUUACAGCUGGGCUUCGGGAGUGCUGGCUUACCUAUACCGUAGCCUUUGUGAGGCGUGUCGUCGGACCGCAAGUAGUUCUUCCGUUGGUGGUUGUGUUUACCUACUGCAGCUUUGGAUGUGGGCUCGUCUUCCAGUUGGACGGCCCAUAGUUGACGCUCCUCGGGAAUGGUUUGCAGUGGGCAACCCUCGUCACCGUCCGACGUUUGCCCAUCUUUGGGACCAGGCGAAAGUCGCCUUCAGCAGGACUUCACGUGCGUACGUACAGUAUGCCAAUGAGCUCGACACGCUUAGGCCCUCCAUGGUGAGUAAAAUGCAGUAUUUCUUGUUUAUUGUAUGCUCGAUAGUUUGUCUAACUUGCCAUAUACAUGUCUUAUGUUUGCAGGUUAAUUGGGAGCCGUACACGGCGAAUGAUGCGCUGCAUCUUGGAGUAAGCAGCAUGUGUAGCGAGGAUGAAGACUUGUACUUGAUGAUCUGUCCUUUGAUUUGCUUCUAUGCUGUUGAGUGGCACCUUCCAAAUCGAGUAGCCCGCCAAUUUGGCCUGUGCCAGCAAUGGCCUGUCCCUCCAUUUGAUACUUCCGUGGAGCUGCACAAGUAAGUUAUUUUGGUAAUUUAUUCCAUGCAUUUGAUAGAUAUGUUGACUGCAAUUUAUUCAAAGUUCAAUAUUUAUUCAAAUUUCAAUACCUUAAAUGUUGCUGAAAAUUACAUGAUUGCUGAAAUUUAUUUGCUACUUGGUCCAAUAUAAAUCCUUGCUGAAAUUUAUUACCCCCUAUAUGCAUGUUGGUACUUUUUACAUGCUUGCUGAAAUUUAUAUAAAUGUUGCUGAAAUUUACAUGCUUAGUGCCUAUCCAUGCUUGCUGAAAUUUAUAAAUGUGAUAUUGCAGAUCCAUGCUUGCUGAAAUUUAUAUCCUUAGUCAUUUCCAUCGUAUUUGAAGUGUGCUACUACAACCUACUUGCUGAAAUUUAUUUCAUACCUACUAUAUUCAUGUUGCUAGUUCAAUAUUUUAACCCCGUACUGAGUUUUAGAAUCAAUGUUGUUAAAUCUGUGUUAUUAUUUUCAUCUUUAAUAUUUAAUUUUAGGAUUGAUCGUCAGAAGCAAAAGAAGACAUUUGAGUUUGAAACGUUGCAUCGUCAGUACAUAGAGGUGUGGGACCAGUUUCAUGACAACCUCUACGAAAAUGAGCAACCACAUACCAACUACAAUUUUCGUGCAUACCUUACUUGGUACCUAGGUGUUACACGAACAAGGUUGAAAAUUCAGUGGACCCAAGCAGAUUAUGCGUACCUUGAAUCAUCUGAGGAUGAGGACACUUCCUAUGACCUAGCAGCACGACAAGGGACACUUAUCGAGGCAGCACCUGUCUUGGACCGAGUGGUACAUGUCCUUUCCACUAUACAAUUGUACGAUUGUUGUCCUUUCCACUUUAUAAAUUGCACCUAUAUAAACUAUUACAUGUCUUAUCUUAUAUGGCAACGCAAUAAAGCAAUCUGUACUUGACAUCGAACGGUUUCCAAGAACAGGUGUGGACGAGCACACACUAAACAACUUUCUUGGAGUAAGUACUUGACAUCGAAUUUAUCUAAGAACAAGUAUUACGACCCUCAUUUAUCAUAUAUCUAACAAUAUGAAUUUUAAUCUUUGCAUAAUAGAGACUAGCACGUAGGCUUAGGCGUGCUGCAGCUCGGUGCGGUUGCGGUACUAGUGCUGCGAUGAAUGUGCAUGUGCCACAGGAACGACAAUGCAACACACCUGUUGUGCAUGGUACAUCUUCUUUGGGAGGUAUAAUUUUAUUAAAUUUGUUGUUUAUUUGAACUGAGCAAUUUUCAUGGUAUGAGAUAAUGAAUUAAGUGCACACAUAAUUUGAACAAUGUUUAUAGGAUCUGGAGGACAGAGCUCGUCUCGGCCAACUAUGGACACUUUUCAAAGCGAUGAUGAUGAGGACGAAGAGGGGGUGGCCGAGGAGCGUGACUAUGACGAGCUUGGGUUAUCUCAGCUUCCUAAUGCUCCUUCUACUCAGCCUACGCAGGUUGCAAGAAGGCGACGUCGUUCGCCUUGUAGGUACACUCCAGGCACCGAUGCUCUUGGCCACAAGGGUAAGGGUAAGACUAGGAGGCAGUGAGGAUGACUUCUGUGCUAACACCAUGGUAGCAGCUUAGAAUUGAUGGCAUAACUUCUGUUAUUUUGCAUGUAUCGACACUGUGAACUUUGUGGACUAUUUGUACUAUAUGGGACUGUAUGGUCUCUGUGGACUAUCUGAACUAUCAUUCCUGAUGGCGUAUGUGCUUGUGUUGUGAUAUUUGGAUGAAUCAAUGUUUGUAUUGUACUGUGAUGUCUAUUUAUAACUGUGGAUGUACCAAAAAUAGGGGAAACUCUUGCAAAUUUUUUCCAUGAAUUAUUCAAUGUAGUGCACAUAUUCUGUGGUCCAUUCCUAUUGGUUUUCGCAGUGUAGGCUUUUCAGAAACAGUCAACCAAUAUGGCUUUUCAUUGAAUCAUCACAUCCGAAACAGUGAACGAAUCUAGCCUUUUCAGAUGACAAUCCAAAUAGACUUUUCAGUUUUCAACUAGGCUUUUCAGUAAUCGAAUCUAGGCUUUUCAGGUGCAUUUAUUACUACAACGGCUACCAACUAUUGGGUUCCUAUAUAUAUACGCAGUGGUGAGAGCGUUGCUACUCACUUGAGAUUGUUCAGUUCAAGUAAAAAUGUCUGGAGGGUCGUCUAGAGGGAAGGGAAAGGGAAAGGCGGCGAUGAAGGGUAAUCCCUUUCUUUGGGAGGGUCCUCUUGGUCCUAAAGACUUUGAGGAAGCAAUUUAUGAUAGGUUCCCCCUUGAGAGCAAACAUGAUUUUACUAAAGAGGCACCACUGAGGGCAUAUGAUGACCGAAAAGAAGAGUGGCCAAAAUGUAUGCAUGGUGAGGAUUGUUUGGUGCAGAUGUACACAGAGGGGAUAGAUGGAGGGCGUCGUUUCUUCAAAUGUCCACGAGCAUGGGUAAGUCAUAUUACUAAUUCAACCUUCAAUAAGAUACUCUCUUGUGCUAAAGCUACAUACUUAUUGCAGUCAUCCUUGUCAAAAGAGAACUGUGGCUUCACCAGAUGGGUCGAUCCUAGACCUAUUCAUCCCCAUGCAGAGUACAUCUACUACCUGCAGGACCGUAUCUUUGAUUUAGAAACGGAAGUUAGUUGUGGUUACAAGGACGACGAAGAGGACGACAACAGCAAUGCUACUGGCUCCCAAAACACAAUAUGCAAUGAUCCAUACUGCACAUGCCCUAAUCACAAGAACAAGGGCCCUCCUUCACCACCACCCCCACCCCCACCACCAACAACGGGAGGAUACUAUGGAGAAGGGGCAACACAGUUUGCUAUGUGGCCACACUACUAGGUAGAACUGAACUAAUUCACAGGCCACAUCCAUAUGUUUGUUGUUUGGUUUAAUCACCUAAGGCAUGUUAGGGUUAGUCGAAAGAACUAUGUACCUUUGUGUGGUAUAUGUUCUCACAUGCCAUUCCCUGUGCUUGUUAAUUGCUUGAAUUACCUAAGGCAUGUUAGGUUUAGUCUCGGACCUCUGCACCCUUGUUUGGUGCAUGUUUUGACAUGCCAUUCAAUGUGAUGUGUGCUACUAGUUUUGCAAUAUACUAGUUCGUUAACUUCUAUUUCAACUAAUUAUCCUCAUUUCAUUGCCUAUGCAAUACUCAAAUAAAAAUAUUGUCUACUAAUAAUGAAACCAAAUUAAAAUUGCUAAAGUGCAUUACAUAACAACAAAUUGAAAAGUCCAACACAAAAUAAUAUUGUCCAUGAACCAAACAAAGAACAAGAAGGUAAUGUAACUACUGAGUGCAACGAGGCCACUUUCCCUUCCUCUGGGCAUCUGGAUUCUCAUCAAUAGCUGCCUUCGCUCGGCGCACACGCUCAAGCUUCUUUUCCCUCUCCUCCCGAGCCGCAGCAACACUUCUUCUUUUCUCCUCUUCCUUGUGCUCCCUCUUUUGAGCCUCCUCUCUACGUCUCUUCUCUAAUAUCUCUGCACGCUCUGCAUCCCACUCCUUUAGGCCUUGUAGAAGCCGCUUGUCGGACUCCUUAACCUCAGUGUCGAUCCACUGCUCAAAAUCACACAAUGGUGGAGGGGUCUGCAACAAAUAUAUUUAUUCAAAAAUUUAAAUCAUGCUUCGUAGGACACAAAUUAAUAAGUGCACAAUAGAAAAAAUAACUUACAAUAAAGUUACUGCGGCGUUGUUUUGGCGUAGGCUCCCAGGCAAAAUUCGAACACAUCCAAUACCUCUGCCGAUAGGUUUCCUCGUCUUCCGAUUAAGUUUUCUAAGGGUCCAAUUGUGAACUUUUUUUAAAAAAAAGACCAAAUUGUAAAAAAUUGAGGCUCAUCGGCUUGUGCCGACGGCGGAUCCGAACGAGGCCCCACGGCACGGGCGCACACCACCGUCACGACGUGACGCUAGCCGACACGCACAGCACAGCACCGAAACCACCGCCGGGACCCGGCACGUGUUGUGCGCUCCCCGGGCCGUCGUGGCGCCGCCCGCCGCGCCGCUUCCUCGCCUCCUCCCGACUCCCGAUCGCACGGUGUCGCACACUCGCUCAGCCGGAGCCAAGAAGGACGUUGUCGAUGCCAUAAACAAGGACCUGAACAUUGAGUUGAACUACGAUUAAAUUUAGUUUAAAAUCUAUUUCAAUUCACCCUAACACAUACAUACAGAUUAAUAUGAAUCCGACUACAUCUAAAACUUAGUGACUUGGUGUUAAAGCUCUCCCGAGUUGAAGCACUUGCAGAAUCCAAGGCUUUGUUUAGAUCUAAAAAGUUUUUAGCAUUUUCGUUUUUAUUUGACAAAUAUUGUCUAAUCAUGAAAAUAACUAGGCUUAAAAUAUUCAUCUCACGAUUUACAGACAAACUGUACAAUUAGUUUUUGUUUUCAUCUAUAUUUAAUGUUUUAUGCAUGUGCCGCAAGAUUCGAUGUGACAAGAAAUCUUAAAAAAAAAGUUUUGGGGGUGAACGGGCCUUGUUUAGAUGCGAAAAGUUUUUGGAUUUUGACACUGUAGUAUUUUCGUUUUUAUUUGACAAAUAUUGUCCAAUCAUGGAGGCUUAAAAGAUUUGUCUCGCGAUUUACAGACAAACUAUGCAAUUAGUUUUUAUUUUCAUCUAUAUUUAAGGCUCCAUACAUUUGCCGCAAGAUUCGAUGUGACACAGAAUUUUGAAAAGUUUUUGGUUUUUGUGGUAAACUAAACAAGGCCUAAAGAAGGCCCAAAUGUAACAUCAACUGCGCACUUCUCCUGCGAUCCCAGAUCAAAGAUCAAAGACUUUCAACAGCUGGGGAUCCGUGCAUGUAGCAUGGAAACCGUUGAUGUUGUAGAUUACUGACGAGAAAUCUCUACGCAACGCCAACCACGGAGGGUUUGCCUGUCUCUCUUUUCUUCUUUGGAACAUAUAUAAAUGGGCGGGCCUGUCUUCAGAGUUAGUUAAAGCGACAGGGGCUCCUUUAGGUGCUCUCAAAGAGUCUCAACUGCACGCUACUUGUUUUGGACUUAAACGAUCUAGAAUUCUAGAUUCUAGAUCGAGUGUUAUUUAGCACGCGGACUUGCUUUCUAGACCAAAGACAACCAAAGUAUUAUUUGAUCGGGAAACAAUGGAACACAGAGGUUCAAAUUCAGGUGAAUGCGGUCUUGGCAUGUGAUCCGAUCCCAGAUGCUUCAAUUCCACCCACACUAUUCGAUGGCAGGAAGGAUGGUCGGCAAGGUUGCACCGGAGGAGAAACAAAUUCAAAGUUCUAGUAGAUUUGACAUUAUUUCCUUCUUGUACACAACUGUCUGCUAUUUGAUCGAUUGACUCAUCACGGCAUCUAUCAACGGCCAGUUCUAUACUAGUAUUAGUCUAUUAGAUAUCACGUGCAAGAAAGAGUGUCAAAACCUUUGAGCUAACGGAAAAGAAGAUCUAAUUUUUUUUGACAUCCUGAUUUAUGAAAGACAUAAUAAUAACUCCUCUAUCUCUCUCAUGUUAGGAGAGAAUAUAUAAUAAUUCCUCAAACUCUCUCUUAACAGGAGGAAUAUAUGAAAGAGAAUAACUUACAUAUAGCAAAAGGAAGAUAUAUCAUGUAAAAGUCGAUACCUAACUUUUACUAAUAGAUGUGCCCUUAGUAGCACAUUUUAUUACCUUUGUUCUAAAAAAAUGCAAAUAUUUUAGAAUAGUGUUUAGUCAAACAUUGUUAAAUUUAACUAAAUUUAUAUUAAAAAUAUUAUUAUUUAACAUACUAGAAAUAUAUUAUUAGAAUGAACUAUAUUUUAUAGUAACUUAUUUGAAGUCGUAAAUACUGAAUGCUACUUUAUAUUAAUUUUAUUUAUCUAGAUAGUUUGACUUAGGGGCAGUUUGUCACAGCUCUCAUCUGCUCUUUUAUUAUUAUAGCACAGAUCCGGUGUAAUUAGAAAUCAUGGCUCCACCAGCUCCUCCUCUUCUUAUUUUUCAUCUCGAAAAUUGAAACGGCUCUGUGCUACCAUACCAAAUAGUGUUGCUGUAGUGUUUUUUUAAGGAGGAGCCAAAUUACGUAAGGUCUUGUUUAGUUCCAUUUUUUUUUUACAAAAUAGGCAUGGUAGCACUUUCAUUUGUAUUUGACAAAUAUUGUCCAAUCAUGAACCAACUAGGCUCAAAAGAUUCGUCUCGCAAAUUACAGGUGAACUAUGCAAUUAGUUUUUAUUUUCGUCUAUAUUUAAUAUUGUGAUAAGGAAUAUGAAAAUUUUUGUAAAAUUUUUUUGGAACUAAACAAGACCUAAGAUAUGUACGAAACAAGGCCUUAGAUUCGUGCUAGAAUUGCAUGGCGGGAUGGAGUGCUGAGUGCAAGAUUGACUCAUGAUCAUCGAGCCAAUAAUUAUACAUGCAGUUUGGAAAGUAAGCACUUAUUCUACGAACGGAGGGAUAUUAUUUUCUUUUCACAACAAAUCGGCAUAAGUUAAAUUUUAGCGAAACAAACACACACGAGUAGCACUCAUAUUGUAGCUGAAUCCGUAUUCUACUGUUUUGGCCAAUCUAGCUGGGCACAGGUGAUAUUUACGGUAAAUGCGGCAAAUCCCAAAUAGUUUUGGGAUUGGGAGUGGUAUAUGAAAUUUAGCAUAGGUGGGGCCCGUCAAUCAGUGUAGGACAGGAAAACGGUUGCCGCCACGCCGCCGGAGAUUCAACACCGGCAAACCGGCGUACCUCCCAUACCAUCGCACGGCACGACUAGGACGCAUCCGUCACACUGCAGACCUCACGGGUGCACACACCGACACCAUCACGAUCACGACGUGACGCUAGCGGACGCACCGAAACCACCGCCCGGCGGGCAUGCAGGAGGCAGCUGGGCCGUCGUCAUUAGGCCGCAAACACGACACUCCCGCGCUUUUUCGAUCGGCAGCAUACAUCUCGUCUUUUGUCGAUGCGAUCGUUAAACAAAGGAGCUUUCAGUGCCUGCUUAUACGGGUCAGCGAGACGCCACGCAGCAUGGUAAAACUGUCCUAGGCAUAUAGUAUCCCGUAAAUUUUGCAUAUCCCCCCCCCCCCUCAGUGUAGUACCGUAUAGAUUUGAAAUACACGUUUUUGAAUACCCUUUUCUGAAACUCAGAAAUUUCAAAUUUUGCAGCAAUCAAUCAUAGGAAAAAAGAAAAGAAAGAAUAUAAUGUAGAGGGAAAAAAUCGCACAUAUGGCUUGCCGGCUUGGUGUUGAAGCUCUCCCAAUUUGAAGCACUCUCAAAUACUCUUUCAGUUUCUAGCUUUCUUGGAGAGUCAACUCAUAAGUUUGACUAAAAUUAUUGAGAGAAUUAUAAAAAUUUAUCACAUUAAGUUAUAAAAAUAUAAUUAAUAAAAAAUUAUUGAUUCUUUAUUAUUAUUAUUAUUAUUAAAGUUAGUUAAAUUUAAAAAAUAUUCUCUCUAAAAAUUUAUAAAAAUAACUUAUAAUUUAAGACAGAGUGAAGAGUCAACUGCGUACUUCUCAUGUGAUCCCACAUUAAUGACUUUCAACAGCUGGAUAUCCCGUAUCCGUGCCUGUACCAUGGAAACCGACAAACCGUAGACGUUCUACAUCGCUGAUAAGAUCUCUACGCAACGGCAAAGGAAUAUGGUGCUCACGCUGACCAUCCAGAGGGUCAUGUCAUGUUAGCACACGGACUACGCGCAUUCUACUACGGAAAGAGAAGUCCACGUUUAGGCUUCAGCUUUCAGAGUCCCACAUGCCAGGACCACUUGACCUUUAUCUGUUCUUCCAAGACUGCCCACGGAAAUUCUUGGCUUCUUUGCCAACGGAUGCGCGUCACAAAACGGCAAGUGAAUUCGACCUUAUCGCAUGUACCACCUGUCGUUUUCACCCGCUCUGUCUCCAGUGUACAGCGAAAACCAUUCACAGCAAAUGCUCCUGUUGAUAUGUAUGACCGACGUGGGCAGGCUCCUGUUCCUGUCCACGAGCGGCUGCAGAGAGCCCUUGCUGUAGCCUUUCAGAGCUCAGACCCAGCGACAGAAUCCUCUCACUUUCAGAACUUGAUCCGUCGCACAAAUCUGUCCGCAAAUUGCAAAAAUAGGAGCAUAUGCCUUUUGCACAAUGGCAUUUGCCUGCAUGAGCAUGCUGCUCCAAGAAAAAGAGAGCGAGGGACACUUAACUCUGAAGAUAGAAGAUGCCCAGGACAGUGACGCAACCAAACGCUUUCAGAAUGCCAUUGAUCUGCGUGCAAGGUCAUGACUCAUCGGAGAGACUAUGAGAGCCAAUUACUAGUAGUUUACUACUACCAGUUGACAUGUUGACAGUGAUUCUACUAACCAAUUGCAAGAUGCAGAUGAGGGGGGGCUUCGAUCAUAAGACAAUCCAUCAUCGCGUAAAGUCUCCAGCAUGAGAUAAUCGCACGCAAAGGUGAUGUUGGCUACUCGCCAAGUAAUUAAUGAAGUAACUGAACCUGCAAGCAGAAAUUUCAUGGCUCCAAGGGGUGAGUGUUGGCUCGUGUCGUCUGCGUCUGUAACUGAGUCUCGCAAAAAAAAAUCAAUAAAAAAACACGCAUAAUUUUUUUUUGAAGGAACUGGCAGGAGCUCUGCCUUUCAUAUUAGAUAGGAAAGAAAGUAUAUACAAACAAACCUCUUAAGGAGGCACUUCCAAGCAGACAUUCUGAAAUAUAUUUUUUAAAAAAAAGAAGGUUCUGAAAUAUCUUCAGGAACUUGCUACGAAUGGGCCGAAUGAGCACAACGCGUGGAAACUGUCGUAGACCUGUACAAAUAAACUUUCGGCCUAUGUAGAAAUACUUGUAGGCCCGAAAGUUUCUGGAACAGAGAUGCAUCCCAUUAGCAAUGGGCCAUGUGUUAGACAAACUUUUGUCUCAGGUUCUGCACUCAGGGCUCGUGGCCCAUUUCCUAACGCACUAGCUAAUCCACUGUCUCUUUAUUUUGCGUCAAGAAAGAUAGCAAACUUGGUGCUGUUCAGAGAUGCGCCACAAGCCCACAAAUCACUAGACCUCACCAAAAGCAAAGCUACUACCCUGAACAACUUUCAGCAAUAGGCUUUCAGUAGUCACCCUCUGCUGCAUCUACUGAAUCUUAGUUUAGCAAUUCUACUGAAUCUCAGUUUAGCAAGGAAGUUCGACAGUCUAGCAUUCUCUCAAGCCCCAACUGUACGCCAUAUGAAUGGAACUCUACAAUCAACCUAGCUAGCUAGGAUUACGAAACAAGGCCCUCUUCACAAAUUACUCAGCUACAUGUCGCUAACAGUAUCUAUCGAUCAUUUUCUUGUACUCUGCAUUGCGUCUACCGGCCUUCCGUGGUGAAGGAUAUGGAAAUGGAGUUCCGAGACUCGUCCUCGGCGAUAUUGGCCAGCACAGAGGCCCUGGUCGUGUUCGUGUCGGUGCCGAACGUGCUGCCGCCGCUGGUGGUGUUCGUGUUGGAGGCGCCCGACGCCGCCGACGCGGAUCCUGAAGUCCCCGUCGUCGUCGUCGUCGUCCACCGGCCGGUCCUGCCAUGGAUCGCCGGCUUCCCGGGCUUGGGCAGCGUGAACGAGUCGCUGGACAGCAUCAGGUGCACGCUGUGCAUGUCGGGCCGGUCCGGCACCACGGCCUGGCAGCACAGCAGGCCGAGCUGGAUGCACAGCAGCGCCUGCUCGCUGUCGUCGGGGUUGGACAGCGACGGGUCCACGAUCUCCAGGGAUCGUCCUUCUUCGAACAGCUUCCAUGUCUGAAUAAAAGUUUCAGAAGAUUCAGCACAUCAGACUAUCUACUACUAUAGUACGCAGAGGAAUUUCUCUUUCUGACGAGGAGAUCUGAGCACUUACAUAAUUCAAGAGGUCGAUCUUUUGGUCAUCCGAAUGCCGAACGAUGUUCUUCCGUCCGCUCACAAUCUCCAGCACCAGGAUCCCGAAGCUAAAGACGUCAGUCUUGGUGGACAAGUAGCCGUUCAAUGCGUACUCUGGAGCCAUGUAACCACUGCAAUUCAUCACCAUACGGCAUUUGCACGGGCACAGGCUGUGGAUACAAGGCGAGACGCUAAACAGAAUCGUCUGAACUCACUAUGUGCCGGAGAUUCUGAAUGUGUUCACGUGCGUGGCGUCCUCCAGGAACAGCCUUGCCAUGCCGAAAUCUGAAAUCUUUGGGUUCAGCUGGUCGUCAAGGAGCACGUUGCUCGCCUUGAUGUCUCUGUGGAUGAUCUUCACCGGAGAUUCUUCGUGAAGGUACAGGAGCCCUCUUGCCAAUCCGAUGAUUAUGUGGUACCGUUUUGGCCAAUCUAGCUGGACACACUUUUUCCUGUCUGAAGUAGUCAAAGGAUCGGAACAUAAUGCACAUGUUAGAGAACGAACUGAUUUUUUGUGUCAUCCUAAUCUACUACUCCCUCCGUUCCAAAUUAUAAGUCAUUCCAAGAAUCUUGGAAAGUCAAAACAUUUUCAAGUUUGACCAAAAAUAUAAAGAGAAAUAUAAAGAUUUAUGUCAUAAAAUAGGUACACUAUGAAAAUAUAACUAACAAAGAAUCUAAUAAUACUUGGUUGUUACCAAAAAUGUUAUUAUUUUGCUAUAUAAAUUUGGUCAAACUUGAAAAACUUUGACUCUCCAAGAUUCUUGGAAUGACUUAUAAUUUGGGAUGGAGGGAGUAUCAUCUAAGGAAAUGUAUGCACCAUGCGUUUCUAAUACACCCAGUUUUCAGAAGGUAGUAUAGUUAUGUGCAAGCUGAAGUUUGCACAAAGCUCCGGUAGGUAGCUGGGUAAACCUGUAUGCAGCUCUGUUUUUUUUCUGGAUCACACAAAAGGUUUGCACGUCUUUGUAUUAAGUAGAGAAAAAGUUUAAGACAACACGCCUUACCGGCGCCCUUGGGGUCAGAAGAAUUGUACAUGGACGCUCAGACUCACCCUAGGUAGAUGACACUUGGUGUCUGUUAUUAUCUGAAAUGCGACCAAAAUGCUGACUCCCCUCAUUCCAAAUUAUAAAUCGUUCUAAUUUUUGUAGAUACAUAGUUUUGACUAUGCACCUUGAUAUGUACCUAUCAUUUGGAAUGGAGGAAGUACGUAAUACCAAGCAACUAAUUCUUGUCCUUCAAGGAUUGAGGAGUAAGACGAAAGCGCACUGCCUAUAUUUUUCAUAAAAUUUAGUUUUAUUUCUUUUGUUCACAAUGGAUGCUUCUGGUGACAAAAAAUCCUAAUCAAAGAAAUGGUCAAUGAAAGGAUCAUGUACGUCACCUGAUGUGAUGUGAUGUGAUGUGAUAUGUUGAGCCUUUGAGAUUAAGAUAAGAAAUCAAUCAAGUAGCUUUCGUGACGUUAAGGUCAACAGAUUAUUAAUACUUCGAAACAGCUGCUAUAUAAACUUCAGAGCUGACUCUUUUGUGGUUUCUACUUUUUGAAUACGACCUUGAUGUACCUACCUCUUUCCACUUGAUUUUGUCUAAAAACAUACAGUACCUGUCACCUACCAGCAUUAAAAUACUAAACGGGGGUGGUUCCUGUACCUCUAUCAAAAUUAGCUGCCUUUCGUUUGAAAACAAAAAAAGAAAAGAAAAAGUACCUGCCUUGCGUUACAAACUAAUCCCCAAUUCCCCAUUCUAUAUUUGUUGUUCGGAACUCCGAAGAUAUAAAACUGAAUGAACUGAUUCAGUGACUGUGUUACUAAGAUGCGUUUUACAAAUAUGCAGUAAAAAAACAAUCAAACUGAGAAUUAAAUGCUUACUAUCCACACAUAAUCAGCAAUAGCAUGAUGGCAACCAAUUCAGAACAGACAGAAAACAGGCAGAGCAGCUCUUACCAAAGAGAAUGUGGUCGAGGCUGCCAUUGGGGAAGUAGGGAUAAACGAGCAGGAAAUGGCCGGAGGAAGCACAGCAGCCAAGCAGAGACACCAGGUUGCGGUGCUGCACCUUGAGCAGGAGCCGGACCUCGUUGAGGAACUCGCGCUCGCCUUGCCGUGACCCCAUCGACAGCUUCUUCACAGCGAUCUGCUGCCCGUUCUCCAUCACCCCCUGAAAGGAUCGAGUACAGCACAAGCAGUUUCAGUCUUUGGUAGACGACAGGUUUACACCAUGAGUUUCAUUGUUGGAAAGGAGUUGAGUCCAUUAGUUAUAUAUCAAUAUAUGUUUUCUUUCCCCUGGAAAGAUACAGUAUUAGUAUGUAAAGAAACUGAAUUGCUGAAUGCAUGGCACUCUCAUGGUCAAAACGUAGUGUUUUCUUAACAGGCUACAGUUGGGCGUUGUUGAACAAACCAAUUUCAAUAAAGAAGAUAUGCACAAGGACAAUAGCAGUAGCACAUGCACUGAAUCUGAUCCGUGGCAGUGCAGAAGCGUUGACGCAUUCGGGUCAACGAAAUAUCUUUGCAUUCAUGUGAAAAUUGGCUACACCGUUUGUACUUGUAGUAUGACAAAAACAAGAUGGAACGUUGAAAGUGUGCCCAACUGCCCAUCUUGUUCAUCACUUCAUCAGAAUAGUAAAACAGAGGCGGAAGUAAAUCAACAUCUUCGUGGAGUUAUUACGCUACUCAGUUUCUGAAAAUGCAGUUGUCUGCCUAAGCAGGUACUCCUAACUUCCGACAGAAGCAGAGAGUGAAGAGAAUGAAAUUUUCGGAUGAAAUCUUUUACUUGAUCAAUUACAUACAGUAAGUAUAGUAUUUUUAAAGCAAUCAAUAAUCAAGCGAGAAAAUAAAUCGUGUAAAAAAAAACAGAAGUGAUGUGUGGAGGGAGAGAAGAGAGAGAGAGAGGAGAGAAUAAGUGUGAGGUUUGCCUUGUAGACGGGGCCGAAGCCGCCGCGGCCGAGGAGGUUGUCGUCGGAGAAUCCGCCGGUGGCGGCCUCGAGCACGGGCAGGUCGAUGAAGAGGCUCCACUCGUCCCCCUCCUCGGCGCGGCAACCCGACGCGCCCGCCGUGUCGCCUGCAGCGCCGCCGCCGCCGCUCCUCCUCCUCCCCGCGCAGCACGCGCAGGUCCACGUCCACGACCGCGCCGCGGCCGGCAUCCCCACCGACCUAACAAGCAGAGCCACGCGGGAGGGAGGCAGGGCAGGGCACUCAGCUCUCAGCUGCUCGCGCUCGGCGCGCGAGAGAAGCCGGGGAGAAGGAAACGGGCAGAGGCGGCCGCCGAACACAAGAAACACACCUGAACUGCUCUUGCUCCGCGCCACGACAGGACGCGCGCGCGCGGCGGGGGCGAAGAGUCAGCGGUCCCGCCGGACGGUUGGGUGGCGCGACGCCGACGCGCGAGACGGCGUGGGUGACCAGCGGAUGGCCUUUUUGGUCUCCGGUCCGCGCCACACACACACACACACUCUCUCUCUUUGCCCGUGCGGGUUUUGUAGCGGCUGUCGCGGCCGGCCGGGACCGGGAGUCCAGGUCGUUACGUUACGUGUGCAGCUGGUGAGAGGUGGCCCUCGCGGGACUGGCAUUGUUUAAUUCGUGAAAACAAAAAAAAAAGAUACCGUAGUAUAUUAUAGCAAUUAAUAUUCAAUUAUAAAUUAAUUAAGUUUAAAAUUUUGUCUCGUAAAAUACAAAUAAGCUGUACAAUUAGUUUUCUAAAUUUAUAUUUAAUGUUUCAUAUAUGUGUCUAAAUAUUCAGUGUGAUAAAAUGAAAAGAUUUUACGUAGAAACUAAAUAGGGUCUAAUUUGUUCUCUGUUUAGUGAAAAAGUAACAAGCAAAUAGGGCCGAAAUAUGGAAUUUCGGUCCCACCACAGAAGGAGAACAGCGAUCGUGAUAGGUGGACGUACGUUUUGGUCUGGGUCGUCCCCCGUGGCCGUCGUUCGCUGUCGUCUCACUUUCUUCAAGCGCGUUUCCGGUAGGUGGCGGGGUUUUACCUUAAAACCGAUUUUUCAUCCCAUCAAAUCUUGUCGUACAUGUGUAGAGUAUUAAAUAUAAAUAAAAAUAAAAACUAAUUAUACAAUUUAUUUGUAAAUUAUAAGAUAAUUUUUUAAAUCUAAUUAGUUUAUAAUCAAAUAAUAAUUACUAAAUAAAAAUAAAAAUGCUAUAAUAUCUAAAAUUUUAAAAAAAUGGAACUAAACAAGGUCAUAGCAGAUAGCAGCUGGAACCUGCCGCUGGACAUGGUAGCUAGCUGCUGCAGUGGGCAGUGGAGACCCGGUGCUGGACCUUUGCCUCUUUUGCUCAUCGUCAUGUACUCAUGUACGUACGUGCGCCUGCGCGUAGCGCGUACUCCUACGCCACGACCGGCGUUUGCCGUAUAUUACUGUUCCGCCGUGGCGGCGGCCAUUCCACUGUUGGUUUCCAGCUGUGGAUGGUGCAGCCGAUUGCGGUGUCAGUCUCGAUCGGAGCCUCGGAGGGGACUACUAGUAGUAGUAGUUGGUCGUCGCUUCGCUUGCAAAUGCAACGCAGCCGGUUCCUACUAUUGGUUCCGGUUCCAAUCGUCGUCUCGUCUGCUGAUUCGAUAUGUAUGUUGUAUAGGCGUCCGAUUUUGGACGUCUAACAAUGAAAGCCCGAGUGCGUGUCCGUUUUAGGCUCCACCACCUUUUCUCCUCAGAAUUUUUCUUUUUUUUAACAACAACUUUUUUCCUCAGAGUUGACGCGACCUAGCCGUGUUGCGAUCGAGCUCCCUCAGCCUCAGGUUGUUAGUACAGUGCAAACAACCGGCCGCGGGAGGACGGCCCUGUUCGCAGUUUGCACUGACCGGCCCAUUGCACAUCUAUGCCGGCAAUGGUCUGGUUUUUUAUUUAGUUGGGUCAAUAUUGAAUUGUUUGGUUGGCUGACCAGCCUACUUAGCCAGGCUCUAUAAAGCUAAAAAUGCCCCUUUUAAUCAGGUCCAGAUUGAAUCACCAGGUUAGUGUUUGUUCUGGAGCCAAGCUAAGCUCGGCCUUCUUCCUGUGUCUUCUCACUGCCCCAACUCCGCCCCCGGCCUCACCAUCCCGUCCCUCCUCCGCCACCGCCGCUCUCCUCCACGCGCGCCCCUUUUUCCCGCCGCCACACACGACGCAGGCGGAGUCCGAGCCGGAGGUGGCACUGUCGCCCCCAAACUCCCCCCAACUUCGCCUUCUCCCCCACAUCCCAUGGCGCCCGCCGCGACCGUCACCGGUGUCGAGAACUCCGAGCGUCACCAGUGCCGAGGACUCUGGCUGUCCCAUGGCCGCGGCACCCGAGGACGAUGGAACUGUUGACUACUGCUGCCUCUUGGUGUUGGCGCCUCCACCGCUGCGCCACAGCCGGGUCCGCUCCAGGGAGAUCUCGUUGUCCUAGAGGUUGAUGGACACGCGCGCCUUGCUCGGCGACCGCGCCAGGCUCGCUGUUGACCCAACAAAUGACGGUGACCUCCAUGCUCACCCUGCUCGAGGAAAUGUCUAAAAGAGGGUAAUCCUACCGAUUGAGAAAAGAGGUAACUCUAUCUCAACAAAUCAGAUAACCAAACAUACUCUAAGGCUAGCCGGGCUGAUAUAGUACACACAACCAAACAAGUAAGGAUUGGCUAGUUAGAGACAUGCUUGGACUAGCUAGGCUUAAUUUGGCUAGCCAAGCUUAUCUAGGAAAUAAACCAAACACACUCUAGUUGACUCUGAAGGUUCAAAAUAUGCGGUGCACAUCUAUACCAGGCAACGAGCAACGAUUUUCAUCUGACAUUGUGGUUUGGGUCUGAGUGUCUGACCAUCUGAGAUUACGAUUAGGUAUCAACUCUUGAGUGACAAACAAUAACAAGGGAGGAAGCAGCAAACCAUGUUUAUUGAGCGUGUGAUUGUUAUACUAUAAUUGAAACAAGUCUAAAAUUAUUAUACAUACUUAGUACACUUAAGCCUUGUUUAGUUACACCCAAAAUUCAAAAACUUUUCAAAAUUCUUCAUCACAUCAAAUCUUAUGACACAUGCAUAGAGCAUUAAAUAUAGAUAAGAUAAUAACUAAUUAUGCGGUUUGUUUGUAAUUUACGAGACCAAUCUUUUAAGUUUAGUUAAUUUAUGAUUAAACAAUAAUUAUUAAAUACAAAUAAAAAUGCUAUUUGACCCAAAAAAAAACUAAAUAAAGCCUUAAUAAAUUUUAGGAUCAAUGAAUUUUAAGAGCCUAGUUCCGUCGCACAAUCCACACGGCCCUAUGGACGCCCCUGCAGCCAGUGGCGGAGCGUGGAGUCAAUUAGAGGGGGGGCAGUUAAGCAUUUAAGAUAGUAUUAUAUCCAGUGAAGUAACAUAGUGUGGCUGACACUCUAGCAAAGUUGAGACCUGAGUGUUAGUACUCUACUACGUACUACUUUUGAGAAAGUCUGCAUACAGACAAGCACAAAUACAGACUGAUGCAGCGAUGGGCGCGCAGGAAGAGGGACAAGUGCCCACCUUCGCCUCCACUACCCUCCGCCGGUGCCUGCAGUUGACCUUGAAUUUCCGAUGGGAUGGGUUUCCACGCGUCAAACAUCUGGCUAGGGGCGCACGACCGUACGGUGCGCCCGUCGUCCUGAUCUUUUUUUUCCCGCAGUAGACAGACCCAAAAACAAGUUUCUUCGCAGUUCAAUUAAGAGGAUUAAUUAAAAUUCUCUGAUUAAAAAGAGAGAACGAGGGGAGGUUUGAUCACUUCCAAUUAUUUGGGAGAUGCUAUAUAUAUGAUAUGACUCAAUGUGCCUAGCCAUCUAUCUCUUGGCUGUAUACUACUUCUCAUCAAUAAUUGAUGUGCCUGAAUUAUUCUGAUGAUGAUGCAUGGAUAAUUAUUCAUUGGAGCAGGCCCUUGUCCUGGAAGCUCUUGAUGCAGUCGUCGAACAUCUGGUGCACGGAGAGGAAGGGAGGGAAGCCGAGCGCCUUGACCUUGCUGGUGUCCAUCCUGUGCGGCCUGUCGUCCCCUUUCUGGCUGCUGCUGCACUCCCUGGGGAUCGGGUACUGCGGGUACCGCUCCCUCAGCGACUCCAGAAUCUCCGACCAGUGCGCCGCCACGUCGCAGGAGCAGAUGAGCCGCCCUGACGCCCUGGCGUCCUCCAUGGCCAGCACAUGGCACAGCACCACGUCGUCCACGUGCACGAACCCUAUCGUCGUGUUCGGGUACUUUCCCAGCUCCCCUGCAAUGUGUUCCAGGAGAUCGAGUGCCAUGCAUGAGUAAGCAGUUCCUGCAGAUCAUAGACGACAUCGUCUUCUUCUUGUGCUGUCCUAUCCUGCUGAUCAUAGACAUUAGACGACGACGACCUUUGAGCAUGGCGAGGACGAUGAGUAUGGUGCUGGUCGGCUUGGGCCCCAGCGCCGGUCCGAUGACGAACGACGGGUUCACCACCACCAGGUCGAUGCCGUGCUCCUUGGCCAGCCGCCAUGCCUCCUUCUCCGCCACCGUCUUGGCAUACGCGUACCACAGCUGAUCGAUGACCAAUAAUUCAUGCAUGUCAGUCAGGCCCGACGAUCGAGCUAGCUAGCUGACGACGUCCACAAUAGUAUAUCUGACGACUGACGCGUACGUACGUCGUGCGACUUGCAGUAGUCGGCGUCGGACCAGUGCGACUCGUUGAGCGUGGCGGCGUGGCAGUAGCGGACGCAGGAGCAGGAGGAGGUGAACACCACGCGGCGCGGGCGCUCGUCGGGCGCCGCCGCACGGGCGCACGACCGCAGCACGUUCGCCGCGCCCUUCACGAUCGGCUCCACCAGCGUCUCCUGGACGUCUUUGUUAUCCUUGCCGACGACCACCACGGGGGAGGCCGUGUGGAAGACGCCGUCCACGCCGCUCACGGCGUCGUCGAAGCUCCCCUCCACCAUCAGGUCCGCGCGUACCAGCUGCAGCCGCUCGCCGGCGCCCUCCAGCUCCCACAGAAACCCGACCUUGCCUUCAUCCUCUGUGUACGUGUUCGUUGUGUCCAUGCAUAUGCGUGCGUCAGAACUCGAUCAAGAACUGAUUGGAAACGAAACGACGACCUCUAUCUAGAGCUUGAUGGGACGAUGGGAGGGAGAGGUGGGUGUACCUGGAUCUCUGACCGUGGCACGGACUGAGUGGCCGGCGGCGAGCAGCGCGCGGAUGAGGUGCGCCGCGAUGAAACCCGUGCCACCAGUCACGCAGUACUCUGGCAUCUCUCUCUAGCAAGCUAGUUGUUCUCUUCGAUCUUGUUGUCACACCUCGGUGGGGGCCUACAACAUAUAUAUUCGUACACGAUAGGAGUAUAUAUAUAUAUCCAUGUGUCUGUCAAUCGAUUCGAGGAUAUACGUCGACACCUACGAGAUCUUAUUGUUUUUUGCCCUUCCGUAUAGGAGAAAGAUGAUCCGUUGGCCGGCUCGAUGCAAAAAUGUUAUACUAUGCAAGUUUGGUUCGAAUUAGGUUGGUCAUGGGAAGAAGAGUCAUGUUCGAAUUAGAUUCACCCACACUGCUUGUAGUGGGUGGCCACCUGUUCAUGAAUAUCUGCUCAUUUUCUCCAAAUCACGAGCAGGGAUCGGAGUAGCAGCGAGGGUGUAUGUUAUGGUCCAACCACACAGAAGAACGGGAAUUUGGGAUAGAAGCAAGAACUAGGUGAAAUCGGAAGAAGGCGGCAGAACUCCGCGACCACGAGGACGCGUUCAAUAGAUUUCAGAGUCUGUUACAGGUUCGUUACAUGCCGUUCCGUGCUUCCGUUCUGGCUUCCCGGACUGUUCGCUCAAAAAUUACGACUGAAAGUAGAAAAACACUGUCAGAUAAGCUUAAACGAACAGCCUCUUUAACCGCGUUGCGGUCGCAGGCCUUUCCUGACCAGACGCACACUUAGGUCUUGUUUAGUUUCAAUUUUUUUGAAAAAUAAAUAAUAUAAUAUUUUCGUUUGUAUGUGACAAAUAUUGUCUAAUUAUAGACUAACUAGGUUUAAAAGAUUCAUCUCGCAAAUUACAGAUAAAUUGUGUAAUUAGUUUUUGUUUUUAUCUAUAUUUAAUGCUCUAUGCAUGUGUCUAAAAAUUUUAUGUGAUAGAAAAUCUUCAAAAAUUUUGAGUUUUGGAGAAAAACUAAACAAGGCCUUACUACACAGCCCAGGCCCAACACAAGACAGGGCUCAUGUCAGAAGGUCAUAUAACAGGCCGGGUAAGCUGUAGUAGGUUCAACGACCGAGGAAGCUGGUGCUGGUCCUGCCGAGCUCAGCAGGCGCUGCCUGCGUCGGAGACACAGUCGUCGUCGGCAACAACCUCUUCUUCAACCUUGCCGUUGAAGGGAGGAGGACGGUCGGGAUGCUUGGCCUUGGCAUCAGGGAGUCCCACUUUGCAUGCGUUCCGCGGACGCCGACGCCGACGCCACUGCUGAUCAUCAUCAGGUAGCAAGUGAAAUGUAGUUGUACGAUGCUUUUCAGGAUCUAGGCCGGUGCACUUUAGCUUGCUCCUCAUCCGCCUGUUCCAGUAGCUUUCGACCUCUUUGGCUGUCCUUCCUGGUAACCUACCAGCAAUGAGUGACCAACUGCAUGUAAAUACACCGAUCUAUUAAUUAGCAAGUGCAGUCGAUAACAUGUCAGGAACACGAAGAACUAUCUACUACUCAUAUAUAUCCGCUAAUUUUUUCAGGCUUUGAGACAAACUACACAGUACCUAAUAAGUAAGAUUCACUUCACCUACCGGUUCCCAAGCAAAGUGUGCAGCUUAAUUAGGAGAUCUUCCUCUUCCUCGCAGAAGCAGUUGUUCUUGCUCCGAACAAGGGGCCCUACUAGAUGGAUCGGAGUCGGAGAGAACAGAGAAAAUUAAUGAGAAAUGCAUGGAUGUGUUAUAUACCUAUCUGAGUGUCUGGUUUGUACCACAUCACGCGACAUUAUGAAUAGUCCAUGUAAGUAUAUACCUGCAGUGUUAGCCGGCCGCUGUGACGACGACGGACGGGAGUUACCCAACUGCAGCCCCGAGAGCCCCCAGCGCCGCUGUUUCAUCCGGUUCACCGGCAUGACGGGCUGACAGCUAGCGUGCGAUUCUUCCAGUUGUUACGGUAAGCACUAACAAGAUUAAUUAACAUGUGUGUGUGCGCCUCCGAUCGAGAUGAGGUGUAGUAGUUAUUUAUAUAUAGGAAUAGGAAUGCAAGCAAACGCAGGGCUUCCCUUUUGACUGGAAGGAAGGGACCGGCUGGUUUGUGUGGUUGGUCGUACUUCGAUCGGCAAACUGAUGAGCAAGGUAGGCGGCCAGGCGCAGCGCAGGUAAGGACGACCGCGCGGUGGCUAGCUACGUUCUCAGCUAAUUUGUUAGUUGCAUGCAUGCGCGCGUGGGUACCAUACACGUGCGCGCGUGUGUGGGUAUAAGUGUAUAAACCUAGCGCUCUCCGUCAGAGUUGCUACGCUGGCAUGCUGCUAUGCUCCGCCUACCAGCUUCCGGGCCUUGUUUAGUUCGCCAUUUUUUUUUGAUUUUGACUACCGUAGCACUUUUAUUUAUAUUUAAUAAUUAUUAUUAAAUCAUGAAUUAAUUAGGUUUAAAAAAUUCAUUUCGUAAAUUAUAAGUAAGCUGUAUAAUUAGUUCUUAUUUUCAUCUAUAUUUAAUGUUUUAUGCAGGCGUUCAAAGAAUUGAUAUAACAAGAAAUUUUGAAAUUUUUUGAGAACUAAACUAGACCUUAGUCAGAAAGGCCGGCCUUAUGCAGUACCCGUUUAGUGUCCACAUAUAUAAAAGAUUUUUUCAACAUUUGUUGUGUUUUCAUAGAUGUUGAAGACAGUAAAAAUUCAUUCAGAAACAAAUAUAAAAUUCGAAAAAUUCCUUUUUUUUCUCUUGUCUUCUUCCUUUUUUAUGCAUGGGCCUCUUCCUGGUGGGCCUCAAAACCAGCCCGGGUUGAAUCCAGGGGCAUGGCCCCAGUGGGCCGAAGCCGGAUCAUGGUGGGCCUUUCUUUUCUUUUCUUUUCGUUUUUCCUUUUUCUAGCAGAACAAUGAUCUUCUAUAAUCCAUAGAAAAUCACAAAAAUAUCAUGAAAGAAGCUAGAGUCAGGAUUUUAUUUUAGAUCAAAUAUAAACUAUGUGUGAAAUGGUCUUGUGUUGAGUUCGAGCGGGGCUUGAAUUCAACUGAUCUCUUAGUUAUUUGAAAAAAAAAUUGUUUAAGAAAAUUUCCUUUACUCAUCUUUUAAUUAUUCGAAAAAAAUGUGUUGAGCUCGUGGACAAGGCCCUAUGUCAUGUUAGAUUUAAUUUAUAAAAUAAUUUUGUCCACCUCAAAUAAUUAUUCAUUAGUGCUAAUUAAUCUUAAAAAAAAUUAAAUUAUUAAAAAAAGAAUUAGGUUGCUACAUUUGGUUCAAAAAACAAGACAUAACAUAAUCAAUCACUAUUAAAAAGCAGAGAAGAGGCUGGGUUCGCCCAUGGAAAGGAAUAUGCAUAGUGGUGCUAGAAGUGAAAAGGAGGCGUGAAGCGGAAGGGCCUGCAGCGGAGGCUUGUUUGCUGGUUACAAGGGAAAUAUGAUUUUUUUUCUUUUUCCCUUUUAUAGGAACAAAGGAAAGGGUAUAAAGAAGAGGUUAAACUCCAAAUAUGAUUGAAACAAAACUUCUAAUAACUCCGACCAAAGCUUCAAAUAAUAGCCAAAAAUUCAAGCACUCAUGCAUAUAAAAUAAAAAAAAGUGCAUCAAAUUAAUUAGGAAAUAUGCCUUUGAAAGGGAUGUGGGAAGGUUUCAGUUUUACUAAGAGAAUACGAAUGGUACGCAAGAGGCGAUUGCACGUUAAAUUUGAGCAUGGUGCGAAUUCAACCAACAUUUAGUUUAUUUAGGAAAUGGUUUUGUAUGGAAGACUUCUCAACCCAGUUUUCCCACAACGGCCUGCCGCCGCAUCACCUAUCCUACCGCUUUGUCUACUUUAAGAUUCGCACCAGUGAAUCCGCCUCCUUUCCCCCAUCCUUUCCUAAAUGUUAUCAUGCAUUCCCAUCGUCCUUCCCUUUACUCGGUUUGAAACGUUCCAUUCCCACCCAUUACCUUCUACCUUCCCAGCUUUCUCCUACCUUGGUUUCUUCUUUCUCCGUGACUUUUUUUUACUUUGACUCUUGUUCUCUCUCAUCUCUCAUGUGUACACUUUUUUUACUGCCUGCAACCAGAUUAUACUGCCGCAUAAUCCUGACACUUUGUUUUUUUUUACUAAAAAUACUUAUUCACCAUGAAUUUUGAAUUUCUUCUUUGAAUCUUUUAAUAUAUUAAUUACCUUUUUCAAGCUAUUGUUUUUUAAUCAACUAGUUCAAUAAUAAAAUUAUGUAAAAUCAAUUAUUUUCACUUUGUACAAUCGGUAAAAUUAAUUGUUUCCACUUUACAAAUUUAUGUAGUAUUUUUUUUUCACUUUGUACAAUCUGUACAAUCAAUUGUUUCCAGAAGAUAAAAUCAAUUGUUUGCAGAUAUUAAACACACAACAAUCUAAACUGAUCAUUGAAUUGAGUUUCUAAAUCGCUGGAGACAUUAAGUAUAUUUAAUCUUUAAUUUGCUCUUUCGGAUCAAUGUCACAUGUUCUUAUUUAUAAUAACAUUUUGCAGUAGAAGCCUACAAUGCAUUGCCGGUAAUGUCGUGUUAGUAUUAAACAUGAUAAGGCCUUGUUUAGUUCCACCUAAAACUAAUUUUUUUUAAGAUUCUUCGUCACAUCGAAUCUUACGGUAUAUGCAUUGAGCAUUAAAUAUAGAUUAAAAAACUAAUUACAUAGUUUACCUAUCAUUUGCAAGAUAAAUCUUUUGAGUCUAGUUAGUUUAUGGUUGGACAAAAAUUAUACAAACAAAAGUGCUACAAUGUCUAAAAUUUUUUCACGCUGGGAACAAAACAAGGCCUAACUUUUGUACUGUUCUUCUUUGAGUUAUUUUUUUAAAAAAAAUUAGGUUUGGUUAGCACUUUCAUUUAUACUUAGUAAUUAUUAUUUAACUAUGAACUAAUUAAGUUUAAAAGAUUUAUCUCGUAAAUUAUACAUAAACUAUAUAACUAGUUAUUUUUUUAUUUAUAUUUAAUACUCUAGCCCUUUCUUCUUCUGUAACAUCAUUCAGCUGUACAGUGCAGUACUGUAGCAGUACUGUAGCCAUACUUUCGGGCCUUGUUUAGUUCACUAAAUUUUUGGAUUUGACUAAUGUAGCAUUUUCGUUUGUAUUUUAUAAUUAUUGUCCAAUUAUGAACUAAACUAGACUUAAAAAAAUUCGUUCGACAAAUUAUAGGUAAACUGUGCAAUUAGAUUUUAUUUUCAUCUACAUUUAAAACUUCAUGCAUGCGUUCAAAGAUUCGAUAUGAUGAAAAAUCUUAAAAAUUUUUCGAACUAAAUCAGGCCUCAGUCAGAAAGGCUGGCCUUGUAUGUAGUACCCGUUUAGUGUCCACAUAUAUAAAAGGUUUUUUUCAACAUUUGUUGUGUUUUCAUAGCUGCUGAAGACAGUAAAAGUUCAUUCAGAAACAAAUAUAAAAAUUCGAAAACUUCCUUUUUUUUCUUUUUUUAUGCAUGGGCCUCUUCCUGGUGGGCCUCAAAUCCAUCCUGGGCUGAAUCAGGGGCAUGGGCCGAGUGGGCUGAAGCUGCCCACAAUGGGCCUUUUUUUCUUUUCGUUUCGUUUUUCCUUUUUCUAGCAAAAAAAUGAUAGAAGCUAGAGUCAAGAUUUUAUUUUAGAUCAAAUAUAAAAUAUGUGUGAAAUGGUCUUGUUUUGAGUUCGAGCAGGGUUUGAAUUCAACUUAUCUUUUAAUUAUCCAAAAAAAUUUGUCCUCACUGGUGCAAGAGCGGGUGCAGGCGCUUGGGCACAACUGCGCGUGGGUGGGAGAGGCCAAUGGCCAUGGGGCUGUGAUAGAGGCGUGGAUGCGUAUGGUCGUCGAAGGAGGCGCUCGUGGGCAAGGCCCUAUGUCAUGUUAGAUUUAAUUUAUAACAUAUUUUUGUCUACCUCAAAAAUAACUCGUCUCCUCGAGCUGCAGCUGUUGUCGAUCGUCACGCAUCGUGCUCUCCUUUCUUGCUCUUUUGGUUAUCUGAUAAGGGAAUUUACAAUGCGAACUAUAUCAUAGAGUCUAAAAUUAUUUAUUACCUCGAACAAUAUGGACUUAAAGUCUAAAUAAAACUUAGAGUCUUAUUUUUUACCUCUUUAUUCAAUGAAUGUGCUGCCACAUCAGCAAAAUACCAUAAAUAAUAUAUAAUUAAUUAUCUUGGACUCUGUGAUAGAGUCUUGCAUUGUGAGUGCCCUAACUACACAGAAAAAAAGAUGGGCUCUAAGCUCCCGAGCCUUGCGCCGGCAGCCAUCCUAGCCCCGAUGACCAAGAUCGAUCACCUCGAAUCUCACACCCAAGUCCUUGAGAGCUUCAUCAAGUGCCUUCCUAGAGCUCUGCCUCUCAUGGAGCUCCCGGGCCUCGACUUCAGCCCUAGUUGGACUACUGAACUUAAGCUUUGGCGCUCAUUUGGGCUCCCGGUUUCUUCAUCGAGUGUCUCUCCAUGUUUUUUUUUCUAGUGGUGUCUUUCGGUCGUUGCCUAUUUUGAAUUUGUCCUGUCUCUGUUGGCUUAUUGAUUCAAGCCACCAUUAGAGGCUUGGGUUCUGAGUUUCAUGUUUCUGCUUUGACGGAUCAGGUUUUCCAAUUUUUGGCCUCCUCAAAUCUGGCUGAGCAUUUCAUGUACAAGCUUCAUUCUUUUGAAUGCCAUCAAUACAAGCUCUGCUUCCAUCUGUGGAACAAUGGAGGUCCAAACUGGCUGCUUGAAUGAAGUUUCUUUUGGAAGACGAAUCCUUGAGGCAACCCCCUCAUAAAACAAGGGGCAAUCUCACUGAUAAAGUUGAUCUCAACAAGCCGCCGCUUUCAGGAGCUAAUGUUGUGCCUGCUAGAAAUUCUACAUUUAAUCAUUUGCAGUUUCCGACAGAGACAAGAAAUAAGUUUUGAUCGUUUAGAGUUUCCCAAGCAAUCUCAACAAUUUCAUGCACAACAGCACCUCAAUGUCCCUCAACCUUCUAGUUCUGUUCCUGGUCAUGUUGAUGGAGGAACGAAGACUAAUAGGUGGGGCAACAAGUUUAUUCCUUCCCAUUUGAAUUUUGGACAGAGGUCAAACCUUAGGACAACGUAUCCUUUGUCGAUGACACAACCUGAUUUGCUCCCGAUGUCUAGCCAAUACACAUUCAAGGGAAGCAUGUCGAGCCCCCAUUAAGUGCUGAGCAUGCCUACGUUGGGGACAUGUCCAAGUCAACUGCCCAGUUAAACAACAACAGGUGAGUAAGUUGGCUUCAAUUACCAGAGCAAUUAAAGAAAAAGAGAUUCUCAAAUAGCCCAUCACCUUCAAUGACCCUACUGGACGUGGCCCGAGUAAAAUGCCUCGCUUCUCCUAUUUUUUGGAUUGGGUCGCCUCACAUUUACACCUUGUGACUCCUCCACCUAUGCAGAAAACGAUCCCUUGGGUUCUUCCGAGCAAGUCUAUGACGAGUGGCCCUGCUGCCUGCUUGACCCAUCUAACAAGGAAGGAUGUUAAUAUUACGGGUUUACUGAACCUAACCCUUGGCCCUUCUUCUUCCCUCAGCACCCAACAUUUUUCAUUGUGGUCUUCUGCUUAUCAAGUUAACCCCAAUCACCCGCCAUUGCCUUGCCACUUUUGAGCCAAAGUCCUCAUGACUCCACACAAAUGGUAUUCCAACAUGUUGAUCCCAUGCCUUUUCUUCCUCAACGGAUGAACCUGAUCAACGUGGAACACCGUGGGUUCAUGGUUCAUGCUAUGGCGGGAACAAGGCCGAGUCCAAGGCAUGAAGAUUGGGCGAUUGCCACCAUUCAGCCUCUCUUGGGUAACAUUAUUACCUUUCAAGCAGUUAGAGAGGUACUAGAUGACUUCUUCACGGAUGUAGCUAGGGUUCAAAUUUGCUCCAUUAAGCCUAGUUACCUUGGACAAGCACUAGUUCAGUUUGCAAGAAUCCCCAUCAGAGAUAGCUUAGUGCUGAAUAGUCCGCACCAGUUUGGGGGACAUUUCCAUUUCUUUUGUUCGUCACAAUUAGGGUUGCAACUAGAGAAGGAUAUAGUUCAAUACAGAGGUUUGGUUGAUGCUUUUAGGACUCCCCUUUAACUACUGGGAAGAAUAAUACAUUGAUACCACUAUUAGGCCCUUUGGGAGAAUGAUAUCAUGGGACAAGGAUCUAGACAAUAGGAGUAGGCUUUUGCUGAAGGCAAGAGUGGUGGACCUUGAAUCUAUUCCACAUUUUGUAGUUUUUUUGACACAAAGGCCAUGGAUAGCGACCCAUGGAUAGUUUAGGUUUUCAGCAAGAGUUGCUUGGAGGAGGAUCACCUGAUUAGAAUCCAAUCCCAUAGAAUGUCGAAAACUUUGGUUAGGCACCUUUUGCCAUCUUUGGGCUUGGUCAACAGGGGCUAGGGCUAGUUCAAAACAACCAAGCUCAGAAUCAGGGGGCCACAAGCUCCGCACACAAAUGUAUGCAAUAAACAAGUGGUGCAUGUAGGCAUCUAAUAGGGGAGAUAAUUGGAUUUCAGUUCGUAUUCGACAACAUCACUACUUCCAUGGAGAUGACCUCAUAUACGUCCAGUUCGAAGAAUUGCACCAAUUAUGUCACCUCGACGCUCUCGACAAAUCUCUCGUCAGCUGCUUUUGUCUGUAAGUAUUUCUUUAUUUUUUAUUAAACUUCUACCUUCUUUAAUUAUAUGUAUAUAAUCCUUACUCAUUUAAGAUUUGUAUGUAUACAUGCAGGCACCAAAUGAGAGAGCUCAGAAGCAAAAAUGACAAUAGUAUUGGGUUCGUUGACCCCUAUAUUGUUUUCAAGGCUCCACAGGAAGUGUGGAUACCAACUUAUGAGACUGAAGUCUGCACCAAUUUUAUGAGGUUCUUCGUGAACCAAAAAGAAAAACAAAAAAUACUCUUCCCCUACAACUUCGAGUGAGUUAUAUAGUUAUUAAGUGCAUGCACAUUUUAUUUUAUUUAUUAUUACUCGAUCUGGGUUUUAUAUAGUUAUAGGCCUGACUAUAUAUAUGUGUGUAAACAACUUUCACUGGAUACUCAUGGUCAUUAAAAUUUCUAAGAACCAGUUGAUAAUCUAUGACUUACUGAGAAAACCGCAAAAAAAUUACCAACAAAUGGUAAACAUUAUUCAAAGGUAUGUAAUGUUGAUCUUAGCUAGAAGAAUAUCAUGAUGUAACUCUGCAAUUAUUAAUUGACGAUCCACAAUGGUUGUGUGUAGGGUUUGAGAAAGAUCUAUUGACCAUGAACAUCUCAUUGGUUGUAAGGCCGCUUGAUAUAAUCCAUCCAUAAGUAAGUUGUACUAGCUAGCAAACUUUCACAAACUUUUAGCUUUCUUAUUGUCGUGGUCGUGAAUGUUUUUUAUACAUCGUACAAUGGUGUUUAAGACAAGAAGGGGAGAAUAACCUAUGUGGAUAUUACGUCUGUAAAUUCUUUAUGGUACACAUCAAUCAAACACCCACAGAGACUCUCAGAGUACGUUACAUCUCUUUUCAUUAUCUCCUGAAUUAUAUUGAAUAACUUAGAUAAUUAAUACCUUUUUUCUUUUAUUUCAAAUUGAAGAUGGAAUGAUUGAGGAAAAAGGUAAUGCAAAGCUAUUCAAGAGGCGGUAGGAGGAUUCCUCCACGAUCAAGUGAUCAAUCCAAACGGCGAGUUUCACUUCAACGGCAAUGAAACUUUUAUUCCAAACAACGAUGAUCAUUUGUAUCGGCUCUAGAGAUUCAGAGAAGAAAACUCUAUGUAUAUAUAUGUUAGGAAUUUUAUACUUAUAAAACUAUAUAUAAAACCUCUUUAACACCGGUUAGUUAUACCAACCGGUGUUAAGGGGUCUUGCUACGUCGCAGCCCUUGCAGGACCCUUUAACAUUGGUCGGUAUAACCAACCGGUUUUAAAGGGGGCUUUAGCCCUGGUACCCUGAACCGGGACUAAAGAGUUGUCGGUGUUUUUCCUCCGGGGGGUCACACCAACGAGUAAAUUUGUAUGCGUGCUUCCCCUUUCCGGAUGGUGAUGCAAGAAGACAAGAAGAUUUAUCCUGGUUCGGGCAAGAGAAGGCCCUACGUCCAGCGGGGGGAGAGAGUUUGUAUUAUCUUGCACCUAAGUGCUUGUACAGGGGCGAAUACAAGCGUGGUAUGAAGUGCGUAGCUCUACUACGUGUGUGUUCCCUCGUUCUAUUCCUGAGUCCCUCCUUUUAUAGCUCCAAGGAGAGACACAGGGUACAUACAUAGGUGUUAGGGUAGGGAUCGAUAGCCGCAUGGAACGCUGACCUACUCGCGGCUUCCGUACGGCGUGGCCUCGAGCCGUCCCAUCUUGAUAGCUUGGUGAUGAUCACGCGUGCUCCUGCGUUCUGCCCUGCCAGCCGCCUUGUGCCAGUCCCGAGGUCGCAUGCUUGUAUGGUAUGGUGCCGUUCCCGACAGCGUAGCUGUGAUGAAGUUAGUCGACGCCCAAUUCGUUCCUGGGUAGGGGCCCUGUUCUGUCGAGGGUCGGAUGCCGUGUAGUAUGCUGGUAUUUGGAGCGCUGACCUUGGAUAUCUCGAGGAGGUCCCGAUUAGACGUUCCAUCCUUGUUUCUCGCGUCCUGACACGCCUGGGUCGUUCGGUGGGAAAGCUGCAAAAAGAACGAUGGGACGGAAGCUUGCUCCCUAUCACACAUCCCAUGACCUGUGUGUUAGGUGGGAGGCGUCAGGUGCAUUUAAUGCUCCAGCCCGCGUGCGCGCGUCAGGCGGCGGACAGUGUCCUAACGCUCGACGUAUCUCGGUUCGCUCGAGCCUGCUUCCGUCUUCGACGGUAGUCGUCGCUCGAGCCCUGACCGAUUCGCUCGACGCUAUUUCCGUAUUCGAGGCUGCGACCGUCGUUGGCGGCGCGUAAGUAAGGUUAAGGCGUCGAAUUGGGAGUCCCAACCUUCGUACAGGCAAUCUCGUAAUGCGCAUCGCUGAGGGUACCCCGUACUAAUACCCUCGACAGUAGCCCCCGAGCCUUCGUUCGAGCGCUUGCGCUCGAAUGGAGGUUUUGAUUUACGGUCGAAUUUCCGUGAGGGCGCGCGAGCGACCCCGCGGGGUAGCCCCCGAGACCUCGGAGGAGUUUUUGACUCCUUCGAGGGUUACGUUAUCUAAUUCGCAGAAAUGCUUUCGACACCAGUGGUGGAAGAUUCUGACCGGCUCAUUUUCUGCCCGUGGGUUUCGACGUACUCUCGAUAGAGCGAGCGUCUUUCAUCCCGAAUUGAGUUCCUAGCGGGUUGUCCAAGUGAGAACCUGUGCCCCUUUCGAGGGGGGUCAGCUGUAGCCCGGAGGCGCCCUCAUAAAGCGGGGUCGACGUGGUCGGGGAUACUGGUCUCAUUCGAUAGAGUCCAGUGGCUCGAUGCCUCCCUUCGGCGGGAUUCCUCUCGACUGUCUCGAUCCUACCCUGAACAUCGCCAGCGAGCCCUCGAGGCGGGCCUCGAUUCUCGACCGCUCGCUGGGGAUCCCUGACUCUGGCGCUCGAGAUCGGCUGUCGAACCCUUUCGGCGGGCCAGCCAUCGACCUCUCGAGACUUUUGCGGUUAUGUCCCCUGGCUUACGAGGGAAGGAAACGGUCGUGGCGAUUCGCAUUUCUGCCCGUUGGGCGCGUCUUUUUAGGCGGAUGACGUUGCGACACCGUAUCGGCGAGGAAUUCGGAGAGUCCGGCCUGUGAGGAGAGAGAGAGAGAGAUGUCAGACGGCGCAUUUAUGGGGGAGUUACCUUACUUCUCGGAUCUGUCCGUUGGCGGUCAGCUGGCUAUAAAUAUGUCGUCGCGUCACCGCCGUUCCUCUCCCUUCCGCCUUCUCGAUCUCGUUCUUUCGCUGCUUUUGCUUUCUCGUCAUCUCACGCGCACACGCCCCCUCGAGCCGCAGCGAACCCACCAUCCCGUUAGCCAAGAUGCCCGUAAGACUCGUCGCCGCCGAUGACUGGCGCCCGUCGUCGAUGACGGAGCGCCGUCUGUUAGAGCUUGAGAAGGAGGGACUGCUGCGCCGCCGCACCUCGCCGUCGUCGCCAGAGUGGAUCGCGCCGCCAGCGAGCCACAGGGCGCCUCAGCCACCCGAAGGCUACGUGGUGUCGUUCGCCAAGUUCCACCGCCAUGGUCUGGGCGCGCCUCCAAGCCGCUUCAUGCGGGCCCUUUGCUCCCAUUACGGGGUGGAGCUGCAGCACUUCUCCCCGAAUGCCAUCACCGUGGCGGCGAUCUUCGCCGCCGUGUGUGAGGGCUUCCUAGGGAUGAUGCCGCACUGGGAGCUGUGGCUCCACCUCUACAGGGGCGAGCUAUUCCAUGCCUCCACCGGAACCACGGGCGUGAGGAAACCCGUGCGAGCGGGUUGCCUCAACCUGGUGCAGAAGACGGGGAAGACGGACCGGCCGCGGGAGUACAUCCCGGUAGGGUUGUCGACCAACCAUGCCGGUUGGGAUUCUCAAUGGUUCUACCUGCGCAACGACGACAACCUCCUACCUCCCUAUUCGGGCCGUCUGAUCUUGGAGCGCCCAGCGGACUGGACGUACGGCGUCGUCCAAGCUCAUCAGGCUCGGCUCGACCCUCUCCUCGACGCCCUGAAGAAGCUUCGCCAGGAAGGUUUGACCGCCGCCCUCGUCCUCUCGGCGGUCCAUCAUCGGAGAGUUCUUCCUCUGAUGUCACGACCGCUGAGGAUGGACGAGAUGGGCCCCGGCGUCUCGUCUCGGGACCUCGAGGCAUGUCGGAUGUCCAGCGAGCCUCCGACGGAUGAUGAAGUCGCGGCCCGAGUCAGGGCCGCAAUCGCCGGUGAUUUCAAGCCGGAACAUGUCAACGGCUUCCCCAUGCGACCCGACGCGGGCUCGAUCGAUCUGGUACGCUUUCUUCUUGCGCGCACCCUCGAUUCUAGGUUUUGCCCCCUCCCCUCUCUUUUUUUUUUUUUUUUUUUUUUAAGUCUACCUUAGUUUUGGCAGGGCCGGAUUGACGUUCGGUCCUCGAGGCCUCCAGUAAAGGAGGACGAGGUCGAUCGCGACAAACGACGCCAAUCCGCCGAGAAGUCGAAGUCUGCCAAGGACUCCGCGAAAAAGGGGGAGAAGAAGAAGAAUCUCGAGCGCCAAGCAUUGGAGGCGCGUCGAGCCAAAUCCAGGCAGAGGGGGGAGCCUGAGGAAGAAUCCCCCAAUGAUGAUGACGACGACGACGAGAGUAGUGACGACUCCGAGGGGAUGGCGUCGCGUCUCGAUCGGCUCCUCGAGGGCCCCCCUCGAGAUGACGUCGAUACCCCCCGGACGGAGGUGUCGGAAGAGGGUCCGAGCGGGUCUCGUCGUCCCCGGCCCGACGCUCCUUCCGCGCUCAAGGCGGGCCGGGACGCACCGCGCCCUCCCCUGGCGCCCAAGGAGAGCGGUCCGGCAAGAUCCCAGGCGUCGAGGCCGCUGACCCGCGGUCGCG
rnacentral:lncRNA from 1 species